UUAAUUCAGUUUGUCGUUUUUUACCUUUCCGAACAUUUUAGUUUGUGGUUGUUUCAAUCUGCUGCUGUUGUAUACUGUUGCCCGAAGAACACACUUGUGUGUUUGUGCGGCGUGGCAUGCAUGUAUCUUUAAUUUCCGUAUUAUGAGUACUGUGUAAAAGUUCCUUCUGCCGAACAAUUUGUUGGAGAACCUUUGCUGUACCUGUGUUUGUUUCUAGCGAUUCACCCUAUGGAUUUCUGUUUCCGACUAUACUCCAUCGUUGCUGUUGUGUUGUGUGUUGAGCUAGGAUGGGGAUCAGAGCAACGCGCAGGGGUGCGCAGGUGUCCCUGUGUUAGUUUCUACGAAUGGAGCAGGGACUUCAUCUCAUUGACCAGGUGGCCAUUAAGCGAGAAAUCUUUCGCCUUGUCUUUGAUUUUGCUCACCACGGACUGAGAAUCAGUCUCGUGGAAGAGCUUCCACACGUUUAUUUCCAUCGCCAGCCGGAUUACCCUGCGGCAGGCGGGCCAGUAGUGUUGAACAUGUGUACAUGUGGUCCGGGUUUUGUAUACCGCACCUGUAAUGUCAGCGAUCCAAUCUCAGACGCGGCCCCAGCACACACGAACGCCGCAGAGUCAGCACGAAGGAAUGACGUGGCAGCGGAAAGGCUCGUCUCCACCAAUCAGGGGCAGGGGCAUGUCAUCUCCAGGCCACCUCGGAUCAGGCACCCGAACCACAGGUUCGUGGGCCCUGAAUGGGCGAACCCUACUUAAGCCGCUCGGCGAGGCUGGUUCAGCAUCCAGGAGAAUCAGGUAUCGGCACGGCACGGCUUUUCUUUUUGAUUUUGCUUUCUCCUUUCCCUUCCCACAAGACAAAGGCUCGUCUCCACCAAUCAGGGGCAGGGGCGCGUCAUCUCCAGCCACCUCGGAUCAGGCACCCGAACCGCAGGUUCGUGGGCCCUUAAUGGGCGAACGCUAGUUAAGCCGCUCGGCGAGGCUGGUUCGGCAUCCAGGAGUAUUAGGCAUCAGUACGACACGACUUUCCUUUUUGAUUUUUCUUUCUCCUUUCCCUUCCCACAAGACAAACCACUAGCUCCCAAGCACAUAGGCCUCUCUACCUAUGAAAAGGAAUGUUUGGCGAUUUUAAUGGCAGUAGAGCAAUGGCGACCUUACUUGCAUCAUGAUGAGUUCCUGAUAAGAACGGAUCAGCGGAGUUUGGUGCACCUCGACGAUCAGCGCGAUCGUCGACAGUUUGGCAACAAAAAGCAUUCACCAAACUUUUGGAGCUGCGUUACAAAAUUUGCUAUAGGCAUGGAACCACAAACAGCGCAGCUGACGCCUUGUCCCGUCGUCACCACGAGCAAGGGCAAUCCAUGGCGAUAUCGGUCUGUCAACCUUCAUGGAUUGAAGAGAUCAGGACCAGCUACUUGGAUAAUCCUCAUGCAAAGAAAUUGCUGGAACAGUUCACGCAACAGGCAGACCCGAAGGGCCGUUUCUCGGUUGUCAUGGACUGUUGUAUUUCCGACAACGGCUGUGGCUAGGAGGAUCUCCAGCGCUACAGCAAUCCAUGCUACGUGCUUUUCAUGACAACAUAGUUGGAGGUCAUUCCGACUUUCCUGUGACUUAUCGGCGCCUCCGCAGUGUCACACCCUAGCUAGUCAUGCAUUAGAGUGUUGCAUCAUGUUUACUUUUUCAUCAGAAACUUGAAAUGGGGAUGACAGAACCCCCAGUCCCCUCUGAAACCAACUAGGGUUACUAAAAUAAUUUUUCAAUGAACCUGAAAUGCCCUUCUAAAAUGUCCAUCAUUUUAGCCUUGGUUCAGAACCUCUGACAAAAGUGGUGCACAUUUUUCUAGGCCAUCAUAGGGUCUUUGAAUUAAAUCAUAGAUAUUUGAAUUUGGGCAUUUAAAAUAAUAUAAAAUAUUUAAAUGCUCAAAUAUCUCCAAACUAAAAUGUUUCAUGUUGGAAAUAAUCCAACUAUGGACCAGGAGUAGUUUGGUGAAUUUUGGAGUUGCCUAGGUAUUUUAUUUAAUUCAACAAAGUUGCAGAUAUAUUAAAUAAAACAGAAAACAGAAAAGAAAGGGGAAAGACUUACCUNNNNNNNNNNNNNNNNNNNNNNNNNNNNNNNNNNNNNNNNNNNNNNNNNNNNNNNNNNNNNNNNNNNNNNNNNNNNNNNNNNNNNNNNNNNNNNNNNNNNNNNNNNNNNNNNNNNNNNNNNNNNNNNNNNNNNNNNNNNNNNNNNNNNNNNNNNNNNNNNNNNNNNNNNNNNNNNNNNNNNNNNNNNNNNNNNNNNNNNNNNNNNNNNNNNNNNNNNNNNNNNNNNNNNNNNNNNNNNNNNNNNNNNNNNNNNNNNNNNNNNNNNNNNNNNNNNNNNNNNNNNNNNNNNNNNNNNNNNNNNNNNNNNNNNNNNNNNNNNNNNNNNNNNNNNNNNNNNNNNNNNNNNNNNNNNNNNNNNNNNNNNNNNNNNNNNNNNNNNNNNNNNNNNNNNNNNNNNNNNNNNNNNNNNNNNNNNNNNNNNNNNNNNNNNNNNNNNNNNNNNNNNNNNNNNNNNNNNNNNNNNNNNNNNNNNNNNNNNNNNNNNNNNNNNNNNNNNNNNNNNNNNNNNNNNNNNNNNNNNNNNNNNNNNNNNNNNNNNNNNNNNNNNNNNNNNNNNNNNNNNNNNNNNNNNNNNNNNNNNNNNNNNNNNNNNNNNNNNNNNNNNNNNNNNNNNNNNNNNNNNNNNNNNNNNNNNNNNNNNNNUGCGUGCUCGCGCGCGCGCGGCCGCGCGGCCACCUCCUGCUUGCCGACGCCCUCCUGGCCGCGUGGACGACGUCCGCAGCCCGUCCCGAUCCCCCCUGCUCUCUCUCACUCUCCCCCGUUUCUCCCUCGCUCUCUCUCGCUCUCGGCCGAAGCACACCGUCGCCGCCGUUCGCCGUAGCCACUGUCUCCGGCCACCCCUUGCUCCCCCGAGUAGCUCAGAAGCUCCGCCUCAACUCCCUCUUCCUCCCCACCGCUCCACGAGUCCCCGGAAGCCCUGCAUCGCCGCCACGUCGCCGUUCCCCUCUUCGGGCUCCGACCACCGUCGCCGACGAAUUCGCCGUCUCCAGCGCGUCCCCGAGCCCGCUUCGACGCCCACUGCAACCGCGGUGAGCUACGCCACCGUUUCCCCCUCUUCUCCCCCUCGUUCCCUCACCGUAGCUUCAUCUCCACCACGGCCGAACCUCCGCCGUCGCCGAGCUCGCCGUCGACGCAGCUCCGGUGACCAUUUGGUCACCCCGGCGAGUCCAACGCGUUCACAGAACCUAGUAGAGCAUCCCUAGCGCCUCACUUUGCUCGACUUCGAGCUCCAGCACCACUCCCGUGCACGACCGAACCCCGGCGGCCGCAGCCGAGCUCACCGCCGUCAACUCCGGCCACCCCGACCCCAACGGACUCCGCCAAGAGCCGCGGGUCGUCCUCGGCUUCACUCCGGUGGCCUCCGCGGUUCAUUUGGUGGCCGAAACGACCAAAACCACUAUCGCCGCCGCACUGAUGGUCGCCGCCGGCCAGAACUCCGGCGAGCUGACGUGGCCUAGUUGAUUAACCACUAAUCCACCACCUACUGACGCUGACAAGUGGGCCCAGGGCUUAGUCAAAGCUAACCAGCCCGGGGUCAACGCGGGAUUAGCCCCAGUGACACUGACGUGUGGACCCCACACGUCAGGUUUGACCCGAGCCAGCUCUGUUGACCUGCUGAUGUCACUGUGAUGUCAGGCUGACGCAGUAAAUGAUAUUUCUGGAUUUAAAUUAAAUCAGGAAAUUCCAGAAUAUUAUUUAAACUUCAAAAAUUCAUAACUUUUAUUCUGUAACUCCAAAUUGGACAAAUUAUAUAUGAAAAAUGAUCAGAAAAAUCCAAUCUAUCCAUCUGUACUAUUUUCAUGCAUGAUCAAACAAGUUAAAUUGAUGUUUUAAUCAGAACAAGGAAAGGCACUUUAAAAGGCCAUAUUUGAAUUUGAAAUUUGAAUCUUUGAUUCAAAUUUGCUCAAACCCUUCUGGCUUUAGUUGCAUUAGCCCAACACACUCAUAUUGCCAUGUUUCAUGCAUGCAUCAUAUUGUUGCACAUUGUUUGGUGAUGCCUGUGUAUCGUUAUCCUUUGCGACAGGAUCUGUCCCCGAGGAGUACCGUGACUACCCUAACGAAGAACCGUAUCCGUGCAACGAACCAUCAGGCAAGCAGCCAACCAUUUGAUCAUAUCGAUACAAUCCCAUGUUCUCGCUCCUGCUCUCUUUUACUGCAUUAAGACAACGCGAUUCAAACUGCUGUGUGCUACGGUAGUUGAACCCAUUUCCUCUGCAUGACCUGUCAUUGCCACAGUAACUAGAUGAAACCCACUAGCAUGUGUAGGAGUUGAUUGAGCCCUAUGUAUGUGUUGUUCCUACCUUGCUAUGCCUGCUAUGCUUAGAGUCGUGUCAGGUCUGGUUCAUCUGGGUGAUGGGCUAGAGUGAAAUGAUUAUGUCGGUAAUGAGAGUGGUGUGGUGAACACGAUUUGGUAAAGGUAUCGAUGAGAGGCCAUGUAGGAGUACAUGGUGGGUUGUUUCAUUGAAGCCGACCUUAAGCACUGAGAUCUGUAUGUGUGAUUUAAGAAUCAGCUACUACCAUGCAUUGGGCCCGAAACCAAUGGACCCUCUCGACUUCUUAUUCACCCUNNNNNNNNNNNNNNNNNNNNNNNNNNNNNNNNNNNNNNNNNNNNNNNNNNNNNNNNNNNNNNNNNNNNNNNNNNNNNNNNNNNNNNNNNNNNNNNNNNNNNNNNNNNNNNNNNNNNNNNNNNNNNNNNNNNNNNNNNNNNNNNNNNNNNNNNNNNNNNNNNNNNNNNNNNNNNNNNNNNNNNNNNNNNNNNNNNNNNNNNNNNNNNNNNNNNNNNNNNNNNNNNNNNNNNNNNNNNNNNNNNNNNNNNNNNNNNNNNNNNNNNNNNNNNNNNNNNNNNNNNNNNNNNNNNNNNNNNNNNNNNNNNNNNNNNNNNNNNNNNNNNNNNNNNNNNNNNNNNNNNNNCCUCGGUAGUGUAUUGAAGUGGUGAGUAGUGGACUCGUGUGCGCAAAACUGUUUCAAAUGGAGUAUCGUAGGAUAGUCUAGCCAAGAGUCAAAGCUGGCUUGCUGCAAUAACUCCACCAACCCUUCUUGAUACUGUGCAUGUAUGUAGGAUCUGAUGUAAGUCUUGCUGAGUACCUUUGUACUCAUGUUGCUAUAUUCUACAUUUUUACAGAAGACGCUGCAACCCCUUCUGAUGGGUUUUAUGUAGACGUGGACAUCAACGAGUAGGCUAAAAGACCCAGGUGGUGACCCUGAGCUUGUGAAGAACCACAUAGUAUAGCCAGGCUUUCCAAGCCUCUUUUAUUUUACUAGUUGUCUGUACUCAGACAAGUUACUUCCGCUGUUGGCUUGUAUGAUUGUAUGACUUGUAUGUUGCGUCGUGAGACCCGUACCUUUGUGUGUAUGUUAUGUAUGGCUCUCUGAGCCCUAAAUAAAGUACUUGUGUCGUAGAGUCAUGUUGUGAUGCUUCGUUGUAUUUGCACAUAUCGAGCAUAUUGUGUGUAUGAUUGAAAUGCUUGGUAUGUGUGGGAUCUGACUAUCUAGUUGUUUAUCUUUAGUAGCCUCUCUUACCGGGAAAUGUCUCCUAGUGUUACCGCUGAGCCAUGGUAGCUUGCUACUGCUCUGGAACACUUAGGCUGGCCGGCAUGUGUCCUUCUUCGUUCCUGUGUCUGUCCCUUCGGGGAAAUGUCACGCUUUGAGUACCGGAGUCCUGUUAGCCCGCUACAGCCCGGUUUACCGGAGUCCUGCUAGCCCAGUGCUACAGCCCGGACCCACUUGCUGAUGACCGACACGUUCGAAGCUGGGUCAUGGAUGCCUGUCCCUGUAAGUCUGUGCCACUUUGGGUUUACGACUAGUCAUGUCAGCCCGGGCUCUUUAUCAUAUGGAUGCUAGCGACACUAUCAUAUACGUGAGCCAAAAGGCGCAAACGGUCCCGGGAAAAGGUAAGACGACACCCGUGGGGAUACCGUGCGUGAGGCCGCAAAGUGAUAUGAGGUGUUACCAGCUAGAUCGAUGUGACAUCGAGUCGGGGACCUGACACGCAGGCUCUUUGCGUGGCCGAAGAUGAAGCAGAUCAUCAGAGAGUACGUGCAGCAGUGCAUAGUUUGCCAGCAAGCAAAACCGGAGAGGGUUAAAUACCCUGGUCUGCUCGAACCUAUCCCAAUUCCGGAAGAGGGGCCUGGCAAGUUAUGACAAUGGACUUCAUCGAUGGCCUCCCACAAUCAGGCAGAGCGAAUUGCAUCCUCGUCGUGGUGGACAAGUUCACGCGAUAUGCACAUUUUCUAGCUCUCCAACAUCCAUUCACAGCAGCCAGGGUAGCUCGCUCUUACUUGGACAAUGUGUAUAGGCUGCACGGUCUGCCCAAGGCCAUCAUCUCGGACAGGGAUCCAGUGUUUACAAGCAAGUUCUGGUGUGAGCUGUUUACCUGCAUAGGCUCGGAACUGAAGAUGAGCACCCUGUAUCAUCCACAGACGGAUGGACAAUCAGAAAGAGUGAAUCAGUGCCUCGAGAUUUAUCUGAGAUGCUUCAUCCAUGCCUGUCGAAAUCACUUGAGUUAGUUUCUUUCCCUAGCUAAGUUUUGGUACAAUACCAGCUAUCACUCGGCACUGGAGAUGUCACCAUUUCAAGCUUUGUACGGCCAUGAGCCAAGACAUUGGGGGAUUGAGGCAGCUUCAGUGUGCAAAGUUCCAGCGCUGAAAGAGUGGGUUGAGGAGCGAAAGACCAUGCAACAAGUUCUCAAACAACAUCUCCACCGGGCACGCCACAUCAUGAAAGUUCAGGCAGACAAAAAACGCUCUGUCAGAGAAUUCCAAGUGGGAGAUGCCGUCUUCAUCAAGCUACAACCUUACGUACAGUCGUCGGUGCAUCACCGAGCCAAUCAUAAGCUUUUGUUCAGAUACUUUGGGCCGUUUCAGGUGUUGCGCAGGAUCAACCCAGUGGCGUAUGAACUCGCUUUGCCGCAGGAGUCGCGCAUCCACCUCGCCUUCCAUGUUUCUUAGCUUCGCCAAGCACUUGCACCAUGUACGGCUGCAUCAUCUACACUACCGGUUCUUCCUUCUGCAUAACUCUUUCCAGUGGAGCUCCUGGACAAACGUUGCAGGCAAACCCCCGCUGGCCGCCACGAACAGUACCUGGUGCGAUGGUCGGAUUCAGACCAGCUCAAUGCUUCGUGGGAAGAUGCCCUCGCGCUCAAGGGUAGGUAUCCGGCUGUAGCAGCUUGGGGACAAGCAUGCUCUCAAGGAGUAGGGGAUGUCAGCGAUCCAAUCUCAGAUGCGGCCCCAUCACACACAAACGCCGUCAAGUCAGCACGAAGGAAUGAUGUGGCAGCGGAAAGGCUCGUCUCCACCAAUCAGGGGUAUGGGCACGUCAUCUGCAGGCCACCUCGGAUCAGGCACCCGAACCGCAGGUUCGUGGGCCCUGAAUGGGCGAACACUACUUAAGCUGCUCGGCGAGGCUGGUUUGGCAUCCAGGAGGAUCAGGCAUCGGCACGACACGACUUUUCUUUUUGAUUUUGCUGUCUCCUUUGCCUUCCCCCAAGACAAAGUGAAACUUUGUAAUCUACUGGUGAGUGUGAGAAACUAGAUCGAGAUCCAUCUCCUAACAUGUAGUGUCUCUCUCCCUUUGUAUGUACUUGUAUCUUCGGAGAAAAGAUACCGGUCGCACACCUUGUACCUAUAUAUAUGUGCCUAGUGCACGAUCAAUGAGAUAUUGAUGCACCAAAUCAUUCUCUACAUGGUAUCAGAUAGCAUCACGAUCCUCUCCCAAAACCGCUUCCGCCUACCCUAGCUGCCGCCGCCUUGGGCCGCCACCGCCGCCAUCUACAGCCGCCGCCCCCGCCCCACGCCGCCGCUACCUCCCUCUCCCCGCGUGCGCCUCCCCUCCGAGUCGCACCCUCCCUCCCCUGCGGCGCCGCUCUCCCGCCGCACCGCUCCCCUUGCCGUGCCGCUCCUCCUGCCGCGCUGCACCCUCACCCAACCCUAGCCCCGCCUCUCCUCCUCAUCACUACGCUGCCGCCAUGUCAUCCAACGCCUCCACCUACUCCAAUCCCUUCGUCGGGCCGGACCCCACUGACAUCCGCGACAUCAACAUCCACGAACGCGUCCCCGUCGUCCUCGAUGCCACCGACUCCAUGUACUUCGCAUGGAAGACGUACUUUUCGCUGCUCUUCUGCGGGAACAAUCUCAUGGAUCAUGUUGAGGGCACCGUCGACUCCCGCGCCAUGGCAGGCGACUCCGAGUGGACCGCGAUUGACGCCACGCUCAUCUGGUGGUUCUUCACCACCAUCUUGAAGGACCUGUUUCAUACGGUCAUGAGCGAUGGUGAUGACGCCCGUGUCGUGUGGGUCAAGCUCAACGGCCUCUUCACAGACAACAAGAUUCAGUGCCGCAUUUUUUUGCAGCAGGAUUUUUUUGACUGUCAUCAGGAUGACAAGUCUAUCAAAGACUACUGCCGCCGCCUGAAGACGUUGGCGGAUGAACUCCAUGAGAUCGGCGCCAAAGUUGAUGACGACCUCCUCCUCAGCAUGCUCACCGCCGGCCUCAACGAGGACUUCAGAAAUGCCGCUUCCAACCUCACCUUGAUGCCGGAGCCCUCCUUCCCAAGUUUGUGGCGUACUUGCGGUUAGAGGAGUGCCGGAUGAAGGGGGUCAAGAAGCGCGUGCAGCACCAUGCCCUCGCCUUCGGCAACUCACGAAGCGCCCCGCCAACGGCCACCCCGCCCGUGCCACGGAAACAGCCACCGCCCCCGGGAUUUUUUCCCUCCCGCCCGCGCCCCCCGUUGCCCCCUAGCUGCAGCCGUAGGGUGCACUACUAGGGAAAAGCUUAUACACAUAAUCUUAGCAGUAGCGCUGGGUAAAAUGAGGCACUGCUGCUACACAAAAUCCUUUCAGUAGCAGCAUGUAAUAGCGAAACGCGCUGCUGCUAAGUUUGAACUCGGGCAUAAUGGCUAGCCCCACCUAGUAGCAGCGCGUACAAAGAUAGCGCGCUACUGCUAUUCUCCGUAGUAGUAGCGCUUUUCUUAGACACUCGCUACUACUAUUCCUACCUUAUCGUCCCCCAUGUGACAGAGACCCCCUCACUCUCCCUCUCACUCAGUACUCUCUCCCCUGCGCCCCCGUUGUUCGCCGCCACCACCGCUAGAGAUCUGGUGCUUCACAUCCACUGAGGUACUCCUUCCUCGCUCUUCCUCCCUCCUCCCUCCUUCUCCAUCCGCCCCUCCUUCCUCCUCCAUCGGGCGCCCNNNNNNNNNNNNNNNNNNNNNNNNNNNNNNNNNNNNNNNNNNNNNNNNNNNNNNNNNNNNNNNNNNNNNNNNNNNNNNNNNNNNNNNNNNNNNNNNNNNNNNNNNNNNNNNNNNNNNNNNNNNNNNNNNNNNNNNNNNNNNNNNNNNNNNNNNNNNNNNNNNNNNNNNNNNNNNNNNNNNNNNNNNNNNNNNNNNNNNNNNNNNNNNNNNNNNNNNNNNNNNNNNNNNNNNNNNNNNNNNNNNNNNNNNNNNNNNNNNNNNNNNNNNNNNNNNNNNNNNNNNNNNNNNNNNNNNNNNNNNNNNNNNNNNNNNNNNNNNNNNNNNNNNNNNNNNNNNNNNNNNNNNNNNNNNNNNNNNNNNNNNNNNNNNNNNNNNNNNNNNNNNNNNNNNNNNNNNNNNNNNNNNNNNNNNNNNNNNNNNNNNNNNNNNNNNNNCUCCGGCCGCCCACUGUUAAGAAUUAGUUUAUUUUUAUUUACAGUAAUUGAUUAGUUAAAUUAAUAGAACUAGUUGAACUAGUUUAUUUUUAGUAAGAAGUAGUUUAUUUUUAUUUUUAUUAAUUGCUUAGUUGAACAAGUUAAAUUAGUAGAACUAGUUUAUUUUUAGUAAGAACUAAUUUAUGUUUAGUAAGAACUAGUUUAUUUUUACUUAUAGUAAGUGUUAAGUUGAACUAGUUGAAUUAAUAUAACUAGUUUAUUUUUAGUAAGAAAAUUUAGGUAUAUGAGAUUUGAUGAUCUAAUUAAAAUUUUACUAUAGAACUAGUUUAUAUUUAGUAAGAAAAUUAAUAAAACUAGUUUGUUUUUUAUGUCAUUAUCACUUUGUCAUCAAAGAAUGCUAUAUGAGAUUUGAUGAUCUAAUUAAAAUUUUACUCGGUGGAAUAUGCAGGCUUAGUCGUGUCUCCUUGGAGUGAUCAUCAUCCGAGCUACCUCCACUUCCUCUACACCCGAGUCGGUGAGAUAAAAGUCCACCUCCUCCUUCUCCACCUUCUUCUACUUCCGAACUAGGGUAUUUAGUUAUAAGAUAUACUAAAAUGUUUUUGUCAAUAUUGAACCAUUGAAAUGCAAUGAUCACCAGUUUAUGCUCAUGUGCAAAGUGUUCAUUCAUUUCCAAUGACCUAUGUUUUGCCAGAGUGUUGAUUCAUUUCUGUUCUGGCAAAUUUCAGGCUCUCGAUAUGUCCUAUUUUAGCAAAGGUCAUGCCAGAUUUUUCCGUGAAUUUAGGCAUGACUUGUGCUAGAAUAUGUAGGAAAUAUCGAGUGCCCCGGAUUUGCUAGAAAGAGAACUAAACGACAUUUCGAGUUGACUUUAAGUCUGUCAGGGCUCCAUACAUGACUAUCCAAAAAUCGAUGAGGGAGAGUCUCCACCAUAUAUGAGAGAAGAAUGCCGAUUUUUGUCGUGGGGGUCACUUUUACUUCUUCUCUUUGUGCUAGACCUUUGUUAUGCACUAGGGGAAGAAGGAUUAGCAACCAUCAUCGAUGGUCGAAAAAUCAAUGACGGAGUGUCCACCAUAUAUGAGAGAAGAAGAAUGCCGACUGUUGUCGUGGGGGUCGCUUCUCCUUCUUUUACUUGUGCUAGAUAUUUGUAAUGCACUAGGGAAAGGAGGAGUAGCGACCAUCACCAAUGGUCGCAAUAUUAGAGAGGGAGUGCCCACCAUAUACGUGGGAUCAGAGUUUAGGAAGUAAGACUCAACAGACCUAAAGUCAACCCGUUGCAUAUUGAGUAAUAGUGAUAUGUGUGUUGAGUUCCCUGGUAGUUGCCUUCGGUCGAUUUUUAAUUAAUGUUUCAACUAUGAACAUAAGAAAUGUCUGACGAUGAAAAGAAAUUCGGUAUGUGCGAAUACUGCAAAGACGAGAGCGGUGUGUGCGACAGGCCUCACCUAGUUGGUGGUAGGCGCUUUAGCAUCAAGCUGGAUGACACCUUCGAAGUGGAUACAGUAAGUCACAACGACAAGUCUUUUUUCGUAAUUAAGCAUGACUUAUGCUUCUUUUGCUUCAACUUAUAAUUUUUUUACUGUUCUACUAGCGUAUCCCCUGCCAUGCAAGAAUAUAUGUCUUAGAUAAGGUUGGUUUCAGUACUAUGGAAACUAUGGAGGUAAAAAGAGUUAACUUGAGGACCGAGCAUGGUUAUAUUUUUCUCGCAAAAUUAUACAAUACAGACACCUACACCCAUUUUCAAUGCAAAUAAUGGAGAACACUAUGCAAGGCUUAUGCAUUUCAUCCUGAUAUGCUUAUCACCUUUGAUAUCGUCCGGAAGAAGAUAUUGAAGAUAAUAUCGACAUCUGGGUCGAUGUGCAGACGCCUCCAGUUCUACCAUUAUGUAAGUUUCUCAACCAUAUUUAUGUGUUGGAUAUUGUUUAUUCAAAAAUAUUUGACAACUAUUUUUAUUGACAUCUUAUUUCCAUUCAAGCAAACAUGUCCAGCGGGACCUACCACUAUCGCAGGGCUGAACUAAACUGCGAGGAGACAAGUCAUUCGGUUUCAUGGCUUGAGGAUCUUCAUACCGUCAAGAUAAAUUAUUUUCCUGGACAUAGAAAUCUUAGUACUCAAAAUGUGCGACCAAUAGUGUUCGUACUGAACUAUGGUCACAUCUAUUUAGGAAAGAUGGUAAGAUUUUUACUAUUUGUCCUCAGUGCAUCUUUUGCAUACAAUAUUUUUUAAGCUAAACUUCAUUGCUAAGUAUGUUACUACGAUGUUCUUCAACAGGGACUCCCGAUGAUAGUUGUGCCUCAGUGGAUCAAAGCUAAAGGUCGCAUGUCCAUGGUUAGCAUAUGGCCAAGACUUCUUACAUUGCACAUGAGUGCAUUCAGGAUUUCUAGAAGCGAGCAAUUCUUAAUAGUCAAAGAUUGGAACAAAAUUAUGAAGGAUCACAGAGAAGUACUUGGAGGCAGCAAUCAGAAGCGCAACCCACAAUUAGGAGACAAGUUCAUCUGCAUGCUUCAAUACGAUGAAUCAGGAGCGCUCCACAUGUUCUUUGCUAUUUUACCUGAGAGAGGGAGGGAGGGAGAGAGAGCAGUACGAGUGAUUAGCUAGCUAAAAUGAGUGUUAGUGGUGAUGACUAUGAUGAUUAAUAUUAGCUAGUGUUGGUGGUGAUUAGCUAUGAAUAUGAUGAUUAAAUAGUGUUGGUAGUAAUAACUAUGAUGAUUAUUAGCUAGUGUUGUUCGUGAUGAUAUGAUGCAAGAGUUCUUAUAUUAAUAUGAUGAUGAUGAUGAUGAUGAUGAUGAGUAUGUUAUUAUAUCAUUGGGUGAAAGAACCGCGUAUUAGUUUUAAGUGGAUGGAUCCUAAGUGAUCAAGUCAUGGAUUAUCGUGAUAAUCCAUGACCACACUUAGGAUCCAUCUAAUUGAAACUAAUCCGCAGUUCUUUCACCUAGUGAUUUAAUAACUCAUUAUAGUGUAAAAACAAUCUCUAAAUUGCUACUGUAUGAAAAAUUGUAUAAAAGUGUAUGAAUACGACCUAAAAUUAAAAAGAAAUAGAAUACGGAAAAAUAGUAGUAGCGCGGGCGGAGAGAAGCGCUACUAGUAAUUACCAGUAGCGGUUGUCUAGGAAAGCGCUAUUACUAAGUAGAUGUAGCAGUAGCGUGUGCCAGCAAACGCUACUGCUAAGCUUUAGCUGUAGCGCCGUAUCAGUAGCGCGGGUACCCACGCUACCGAUAUGCCAAUAAACCACGCUACUGCUAGGCUUUUCCCUAGUAGUGGCGGUGGGUGGCGCGGCAACUGCCGCGGCGGCGACCGCAAGUAGCAACACAGGCGCACGGGGGGGGGGGGACUCCUCGUCAGUAGCAGCAGGCCACCCCACCGUGAACUUACGACACCAAUCCGUGGACGGGUGUCAUUCACGCAUACUCGAUGCCGGUCCCUCGGGCUCCUACCCCAGGCAUUCUUGGGCCCUGCCUGACGAGACACCAGGCGUUCUUCGCUGCGCCCAACGGUGCCCCCUACCCGGCAUCGCUGGCUACGGGCGGCUAUGGUGCCGCCCCUGCGCCUGCCUACGGCUGGUUCUACCGGCCCCAUGUGCCGCCACCGUGGGAUCCUGUGCUCCUCGCCGCCCUGCAUUCGGCUCCGUCAUUGAGUAACUAUGGUGGCGGCGGUGGCUGGUACAUGGACUCGGGCGCCACUGCUCACAUGACUGCUCAUCCUAGUAACCUCACGUAUUCCACUCCCGUUCAUACUCCCACUCGCAUCACCAUUGGUAACGGUUCCUCCUUACCCAUUACACAUGUCGGUCAUAUGUCGUUUCCUUCAACCUCUACUCCUAUUAAUAUGCCUAAUGUUCUUGUCUCUCCUGACUUAGUUACCAACCUUGUCUCCACCUUGCUCCUGAGAACCCUAUCACUGUUGAAUUUGACUAUGUUGGCUUUUCUAUGAAGGACGCCCGUACACGGAUGGUACUCCACCGAUGUGAUAGCCGGGAUGAGCUCUACCCGGUGAAUCCUUCCGCCGGCACCACCACCCGUCCCACCGCGCUCGCCACUAGUGUCGAUCUUUGGCACGCCCGCCUCGGUCAUCCCAACUCCACAGUUUUGCGUUAGAUUCUUCAGAGUUUUUUAUUCUCAUGUAAUAAGGUCGACGACCACUCUUGUGAGGCAUGCCGUCUUGGCAAGCACGUUCGUCUUCCCUUUAGUGAGUCUACAAACAUUUCCACUUUUCCAUUUCAGUUAUUGCAUAGUGAUGUUUGGACGUCCCCGGUUGCAAGCAACACGGGUUAUCUAUACUAUUUCGUGAUAUUGGAUGAUUUUUCCCAUUAUGUGUGGACAUUUCCUCUCCGUUGCAAGUCCAAUGCUCUCGUCACACUCAACACUUUUUAUUCAUAUGUCACCACACAGUUUCAUCGUCCUAUUCUUGCCUUGCAAACUGACAACGGAAAAGAGUUUGACAAUGUUGCCGUUCACAAUCUCCUUGCGUCUCACGGCACUAUUUUUCGGCUCACUUGCCCCUACACGUCACAGCAGAAUGGCUGCGCCGAGCGCGUCAUCUGCACUCUUAAUGACUGUGUCCGCACGUUGCUCUUCCACUCUAACCCGCCUCCUCGGUUCUGGCCGGACGCUCUCGCGACCGCCAGCCUUCUCAUUAACAUCCGCUCGUGUCGUCCUUGCUGCAACUAUUCUCCUCACCGGCUCCUCUUUGGUGCGGCUCGAUCUUAUGAUGUUCUUUGCAUUUUCGGGUUUCUCUGUUAUCCUAGCACCGCGACCACCGCCCCUCACAAACUCGCUCCCCGGUCGGUUCCUUGCAUCUUCCUCAGUUAUCCUCCCAACACCAAAGGUUACCGGUGCUAUGGUCCAGUGUCACACCGCGUCUUCACUUUGCGGCAUGUGUACUUUGAUGAGCUGGUGUUCCCACUUCAGCAGGUACCGUCCACUUCGGCAUCUCCCGCGGCGCGGCUCGCCCCUGCCACCACCUAUGGUGAGUCGGCACGCCGAGCACUGGGCCCGGCCCUGCCCGCGCCUCUGGCGCCAGCCACCCCUCCUGUGGCGCUUCGAGUGUGGAUGCCCCUUCGGGCGCCCCCACCGCCGCGGGCUCUGGUGCCCCCUCGGGCGUCCCCGAUGCCGAGGCCCCCUUGGGUGCCCCUGUCGUCGCGGCCCCCUCGGUCGCCCCCAUCGCCGCAGCCCCUUCGGCCGUCCCCGUCACCGAGGCCUCUAGCGCCGCCGCGGGUGGCCCCUCAGAGUCUUCAGAGAAUGGCUCGACUUCCUCCCCGCCGGUCCCCCUCUUGGCUCCACCGGAUGCGGCCGCACCUCUCACUGGUGUGGUUACUCGGGCUCGUACUAGGAUGUUUCGUCCUAGCACGCGCUACACCUCCGAUGAGUACGCAUGUGAUGCGUCUACCUCGGCGCCGUCCCCACUCCCUACCUCUGCCCUCACAGCCCUUCGGGAUCCGAAGUGGCUUGCUGCGAUGCAUGAGGAGUUCGACACCUUGCAGCGCAACCAUACGCGGCAGCUUCUCCCGUAGCCUCCAUGCGCCAAUGUUAUCACUGGAAAGUGGGUCUUACGCCACAAGACUCACCCCGGCGGUUCUCUUGAGCUCUAAAGGCGCGUUGGGUGGUGCGCGGCUUCCACCACCGCGCCGGCGUGGACUUCACCGAGACCUUCGCCCCGGUCGUCAAACAGGGCACGAUUUGCGCUGUCCUCCAGCUUGUUGUCUCUCGCACCUGGCCAGUUCACCCACUCGAUGUGUCCAAUGCUUUCUUGCAUGGCCAUCUCGACGAGCAGGUGUUUUGUCAGGAGCCUACUGGUUUCGUCGACACCGACUAUCCGGACCAUGUGUGCUUGCUCUCCCGUUCUCUCUACGGGUUGAAGCAGGCGCCUCGGGCCUGGUACCAGCGGAUCACGACCUUCCUUCUGCAACAGGGGUUCCAGUCCACACUGUCCGAUGCCUCCCUGUUUGUUAAUCACCAGGGCACCGCCACCGCAUACCUUCUCCUGUACGUCGACGACAUCAUCCUGACUACGUCCUCGCCAGCGCAACUUCAGCAGACCAUAGCUCGCCUUGGCACUGAGUUCUCCCUCAAGGACUUGGGGGCCCUCCACUACUUCCUCGGCAUUUAGGUGGUCCGCCGUGUCACCGGCUUCUUCCUGCAUCAGCAGAAUUAUGCCUUCAAGCUUCUGGAGUGAGCCGACAUGCUUAACUGCAAGCUUGCUACCAUGCCUGUCGAUACGAAGGCUAAGGUGUCCACCAUCUAGGGCUCUCCGGCGUUCGACGCUUGCUUUUACCACUCCAUCAUCGAUGCUCUUCAGUACCUCACACUGACACGUCCAGAUUUCAGUAUGCCGUCCAGCAGGUGUGCCUCCACAUGCAUGCUCCUCGUGACACUCAUUGGUUUCUGGUGAAACGUAUUCUCCAGUAUAUAUGUGGCACCACGGCUAUGGGUCUCACCCUGACGGCAUCACCUGACACCAGCCUCGUCGCCUACUCCGACGCCGACUGGGCUAGGUGUCCUGACACUCGGCGCUUCACUUCCGGCUACUGCAUCUACCUCAGGCCCUCUCUGAUUUCAUGGUCGCCUAAACGACAACCCACGGUCUCACAAUCGAGCGCCGAGGCCGAGUACAGGGUUGUGGCCAACGCAAUCGCGGAGUGCUCCUAGCUACGACAACUACUUCAGGAGUUGCUAUGUGAGGUUCCCAAGGACACUCUUGUCUACUGUGACAACGUCUCCGCGGUCUACCUCACUGUCAACCCUGUUCAUCACCGACGGACGAAGCAUAUUGAGCUCGACAUUCACUUUGUCCGGGAGCAUGUCGCACUUGGUCGUGUUCGAGUUCUACAUGUCCCCACCGAUCAGCAGUUCGCCGAUGUUAUGACAAGGGACUACCUACCUCGACUUUUGAGGGCUUUCGGUCCAGUCUUUGCAUCAUCGGUGACGCUUCGACUGCGCCGGGGGGGGGGGCGUGUUGACCAUGUGUACAUAUACGUAGGUCCGGAUUUUGUAUGCCACCUGUAGUGUCUCUCUCCCUCUGUAUGUACUUGUAUCUUGGGACACAAGACACCGGUCGCACCCCUUGUACCUAUAUAUAUAUAUAUAUAUAUAUAUAUGCCUAGUGCACGAUCAAUAAGAUAUCAAUGCACCAAAUCAUUCUCUACAACUAGUUCCGCCAUCUCCUAGUCAGCAACAGAGGGAAAGAAAUGGCGCGCCCUAGCAAGGAGCGCAUCGCACCAUGAUGGUCCCAUAGGACCUUUCCCCGCUCCGAAGUCCAGGGCUUUCGACAUUGCACCAUUGCCGUUUGCCUUCACCCAAACCCUCGUCUAGUGGGCACCACUUCUCCACCAGUAUAGGCAUGGAGGAACUCGUCGCUCGCUCUUGUACCAACUUCCAUUCUUCAUUCAGUCAGAGCACCAUGUCCAUGACUUGCACUGGAUCUUCCAUCUUCUGGUCCUCCUUAGCACACUUAGCACAAGUGUCCGCUCCUCGACCUUGGCCGGGUACGAGACAAUAUCAGGUGGAAACCAAAUUUUCAGUGUAAGCUUGAAAACCUGAGCGCAGGCUGUUGGAUCCCAUGUGUACGGACUAGAUCCAUCCAUCACUGCUACGUGCUGUUUGCAAAUAAACGCCCGCUGGGUUGCAAUGAUAUUUUGCACAUAGCCCCUCAGUGUUUACAAGUCAUCAAAGUCAGCAUCGUCACCCCAUGUCUCCACGUAGACGUUUUAUACCAGAAGUGAAACACUGAUAAGCAAGUAUAAACGCCCUGUUUGAUAUUGUAGCAGCAAACGCCCUAUUUGGGUAAACAAAACAACAUCACACUCUGCUCAACACAAUUCUGCCAAAAGGCAAGUAAAGCAAACAAGUAAUAGAAUUAGAACCCUGCUUAACAGAACUCUGCCCCUAAAAAAGAAAACUCUGCCCAGUUCCAAACAAUGCACUACUAUUAGUCCUAAUAACUUGCAGAAAUCUUGCCACCAAGCAACCUGAAACAGAAGAGUUGAAUUGGUCAGGCAAUAGAAAUUAAUUGCAAUACCUAAUCUCAGAUCACUUCACUAAUCAAUUGCAAUAGAAAUUAAAUCUGAUGGCAAACAUCAUUUCUAUAAUUUUCUAUGCUCAACCAGUUCCAACAUCUUUCUUAUUUCCCAUCAUACUGCACACAAUUCUAUCGCCGUAAGAGUUCCUUGUUGCUGCAUUAAGGGUGUGUUUGUUUGGGCUGCAAAUUUCACGGGUGGAGGUGCUGUAACUUUCAAUGACUCGAUUAAGACCUGUUCUUGCUGCAGAUGGCUACUUUUGACAUGAUUUUAACUGAAAUUACAGUUUUUUGAUAGUUUAGACAAUGUAUUUAGACGAUUUUCACAUAUAAUUUGCCGAUUAUAAGUUAAAUCAUCUAUUCAACAUGUUGCUUAAAUGAAACGACUGAGUUGUAAGUUAAUCAUCCAUGACUACUCAUGAAUGUUUUCAGCCAAAAAAAUGAUGUAAAGAUGGCAGUAGCAGUACCAGUUCACUGUCAACAGGACUAGCAGCAAUGGCACACACAUACAAAAAGUCUAGGAUUUUGUUUCUCACUCUCAAUCACACUAACUAGCAGUAGCACACACACAUAAAUUAACCUAGCAAAUUUGCAGAAGCACGUACAAGCCCUAGACACCGCUCGAUCUUUCUAAAUUCACAUACUUAUCAUCAUCUAAAUUCCAUCUAGACAGUAGCAGUAGCAGUUCAUAGACAUAGAUCAAUUUUCGUUAGACCACAGUCGCACAGAGCACACACACUCCAGGAACAUAUAGUCAUAGACGUAUAUAACACUUAAUUAGGAGAAAAUAAUUUAUACCUCCCCAAUUUCUUGAAGGCCAAAAUCUGCAUCUGCUGACAAGAUGCCACUAGUUCGUUCCCUCUCCUACUUCCUUCAAAGGAUGUGCUGAUCUUAGAGGAGACAACCCAAUUAGCCACGACCUUGUCCCCUCCUUUAUUUGCUUUGCAAAUCUGGCUCAAUCUAGAGAAGAGGAACCACUAGAUUAGCCAUGGGACAAAGGAGAAUAGGGCAAAGAAGAAAAUAUGGACACUGGAAUCCUCAUACCUGGGGACCUAGAUCCAGCACGACGUCGCUGGGGAACGCUCAGACGAGUACUGGCACGGUUGGCCGGACAAUCGCCGGAGAGGAAUCAGUCGCGCCGCUCGCUGACUGCAGGCCCAUCACGGAACGCCCGUAGGAGGACUGUCACUGCUGGAGGGAAGCAUCAUCUCCUAAUAGGGAUUGGCAUGCCACCAUGGGGAAAGGUACGGGACGGCUCAGCCUCGGCAUGUUUCUGUACCAAGGUACAUAAUUAUUGUGGGGUUCAAUUUGCAAUUUGUACAUACUCCCAUCUCGCAGCACACAUUUCUAAUCCAAGGGCACAUGAUCAAGUUUCCAUGUUUCCAUUGAAUAUACGGUACCGCGGCCCGGCGCAACGAUAACGAUUCACCCCUGCUCAGGAGGGGCCGCGGGCACACAAAAGCAAAGGAAGAUGGGAGGCAUAAGGGAGUACAACGCUACUCAAUACAACAUAAAUUAGUUCUUUAAAAAGUGCUUUCACAUCCCCGUGGGGUCACAUGCAAAAUCUUAAUAGGAAAACAGGGGAAAGGUAGCCUAAGGAGAUGCGUCAUCGCCAUCGCUGCUGUUGCCGUCGUCAUCGUCAGCCCCACGUUCCUCGAUCGUAGGCGGGCCCACGUCGCCGGCAGGGGCAAGCUCCGCGAUCAGGUCGUCCACAUGAUCCGCCACCCAGUCCGGCAGGACGCCCUAGAUCACUCCGGGCACGGGGGCUAUCGCGGCCUCGAAGUCGAAGUCAGGAUUGGAGCGGAGAAGGUGACUCAAGAUGCACGAGAACGCAUGCACAAGAAGGUUGUGGCUCUUCUCCUCGAUGAGCUGGCGCGCCUUCUAGGCCCCACCUUCGAGACGCUCCACGACCCUGGUGAAGAAGACGAGGUAACCACGUCAUCAGUAACAAGCGGGUUGGAGACGUUCUCAUCGCAAAUGUUGCUCAAGGCCCGGUUGGCCCUGUGCCCAUGGGCCUGGAACAUCUGGGAGCGCUCAUGCUACAACAUCUGGGAUCGGCUCGCCUCGUCCGAAGCUUUCUAUAUGAGGGAGGUAACGCCUUCCACCUGCUUGUAAAGGAAGGACAACUCGGCCUCGACCACGGCAUGAGCAUCCACCGCGGCUUUCUCGAGCCGCUCUGUCCCUUCUAGCUUCUCCUUGAGGCCGUCGGCCACGCCCUUCAGCUCGCCACACCGCGUGCAGAAGCGAGCCUCCUGAAGCUCCAGAUUCCGGUGGUAUUCCUCGGCGAGAACCGUGCGGACCCCCGCUACCUUCUCGUCAGCCUUUCUCUGGAUUGUCGCCUCCCGGGAAGCGAGAGCGUCCUCAGCAGCGGCCGCUUGGCACUCCAUCACCUCCAGCGUCAGCGUGUCCUCAAUCAUGUGGAGCCUUGCUUCGCCCGUAGGCGGCCCGCCCGCCGAGGCGGCAAGCGCGGCUUUGCACGCUAGGACCUGUCGCUCAAGGGCGACGUUUGAAGCUUGAAGCUCCCACUCGCGCCUCUCGGCCGCCUCAUGCUGGCAGUCCGCAGCUCGGGCCUCCUCAACGGCGCGAUCGUGAGCCUCGCUCGUCGUGGCAAGGGACUACUUUGCCUCCGCGCGAGCGUGCUCACACUGCAGGUGACUGAAGUUGACGGUGACCUCGAGCUGGCGCCACUCGCGCGCCAGACGCGAGCGCUCUGCCUCAAGGCGUGUGUCAACAUUGCCGAGCUCCACCCCAAGGAGGCUGAGUGCGCUAGCCGCCUCCUGGAGAAGGCCGUGCCGGGCGGUGUUGCGCCCGUGUGCGAGCUGAAUGCCUGGUCGGGGCUUUCCUUCGCGCCCUAGUCAACAUAGGAGGCGCGUGAAGACUCGCCCGUCCCCGACAAGGGCCCAGGGGCUGGAACUCCCACACCCUGUCCUCCGGUCCGAGUUGGGGCCCGACGCAGAUUCACCUCGCUGCUUGAAGAUGGUGUCGUCGCGUGAGCCUUGCCUUCUCGCCUUCAGGUAGAGGCGCAAGAGGUAGAGGGUGACGUUCGCGAAGCCCUGCACGCCCACCAUCAGCAACGUCCUCGUCACCAAGACCCUCAUCAACGGUGGCGCGGGGCUCAAUGUUCUCUCUAUCACGACGUUCGAGACACUCCAAGUGCCAUAUAAUCAGCUCAUGCCAACCGAGCCUUUCUCGGGGGUGACCGACGGCUCCAUCACCCUCCUAGGGCAGAUACGUCUCCCAUUCACCUUCGGCAAGCGCGACAACUACCACACCGAGCUCAUCGAAUUCAACGUCACCCAGAUCGACCUCCCGUGGGUUUCCGGGCCCUCGCCAAGUUCAUGAUAGCAACCCACCACGGCUACAAUGUCCUCAAGAUGCCCGGGAGCAGCGGCAUCAUCAUGGUCACCUGCGAUGAGAAAGAUGCGGCGUGCUCCCUCGAGCGUGCCUACCAGGCUGCGGCGGCCGAAAACUCUGACGACGAAGGCGCUAUCCUACCUCGUGAGGCCACUUCCAAGAAGAAGAAGCAGCUCCUCCCAAGAGCCAUCAGGUUCCUGAGGCACCUGCAGGAGGUGCCUCAAGCCUGCGCCAACUACUGGGGCCCCCCUUCCUCCCACAUAGGAAGGUGCGCCCGAUGCCUCCCCCAGGAUGGGCUCGGGGGCUUCUGCUGGGAGAGCCUCUGACCUGACUAGUGCAACCAGGGAGGUGCUCAGGCACCACUUGGAGGCGUGCUUUGAUGCACAUCCCCACGAGCAAGGCGCACGACACGAGGCACUAGGUGCACGAGAAUUCAUCACCAAGGCAAUUGAGGAGCUGCAGGAGGUGCGAGCCAUGCGUGGCGAGCGUCGCCCCACACCAUCUGGUGCAGUCGCGCCCCCUGUUGUGGAUGACGAGUUAUGCAUCUGCGUCAACAUCCCAGGCCUCAAUAGGGCCGCAUGACAGGGCCUCUUUUGGCCGUCGCACGUCGGCCGGAGUGGGGGCUACCCCUGCAGCUACGUCCAUGUCGUUUGGCCUGAUGAACUUGGGCGCCACGUACCAGCACCUCACGUAGCAUGCUGUGGCAUCUGACGAGGCCAGGCACCAGGCGGUCAUGUCGGAGGAGCUUUCGGACCCUCGCGAGCCCCCUGGGCCUCAUGAGCUUCCCCGGCCUCCAGAGCCACAUGCUCGUGAGGAGCGAUCUUCAUGGCAUGUGUCUUCAGCUACCCCGAGGCUUCUACAACACUGGUGCCAGGUGACUUUUUGGUUUGUUCAGUUGACGGCACCUCCCGGGAUGCAUUAUCCUCAGGCUGUUAGGGCCUACCCCCGUAGCUGCACUAUUUCCAUUCAUGUAAUUUGGACCAGUUAUGCUCGCAUAAGUCGUUGUGGUUGUUAACCUUGCGCCUGACCGUAUAUUUCUUCAGGAGCUACCUCUGCGAGCUUCGUGCAUUUCUAGCUCUCCCCUUGAGAGUCCCACGAGAGGGGGCUACUGGCACGGCGCCCAUGCUCGGGUCCAUCCCUGCAUCACCAAUAAAUCUAAGAGAUUGAGCUCUAGCUCACGGGCCAUCCCCGUGCAUGUCACCUCACCAAGUCCUUAGUGCCUUCGUAUUCUCAUGGAACAAUCACGAGCAGAUCAGCAAGCGCGGCCGCCCAUAUAUUUUACAACUAACUAAUACACAGGAGCCUUCGGAGGCAGGGCCUCGAGCGGCCCACCUCACCGCCCUAAAGGGACGUGCCACGAUCAAGCAGCGUACAUACCGGCUGACAAAAGGCUAAGUGAAAUUGCUUCAUACACCGUGUGCCACGGGUACAACCUCCCCUAAGCACCCCUGCCGGUGAGCAGUUUCUCUCUCGCGCAAAUCGCUUGGACCUUAAAAGGGGGCCCUUGAGCAUCGCACCUCAGGGGCCUGUUGGCUCUUGAGCGCUCACCCCUGGCCUUGCCCAUGGCAUCACGCAGAGGAGAGACUAAGCGCGCUCGGCAGAGGAGAGACUGCUGGAAGUAGUACAAAGCCCCUCCUUAGUAGUAUUUAGGGGAUAUUUUGUUCAGCUCAUCUGACUAUAGAUGUGGUGAAACUGUACAACGUACUUAAAAUUAGCUAGUAUAUAUAGUUGAACUAGCUAUUUCAGUACGUGGUUGGCAAAAAUUGGGGAAAAGUUUGGUCGGUUCAGCUGUAAAGUUGAACUGUUUGUAUAAAUUAAUCACAACUGCUUAAUCUAUGAAUGAAAUCUAUGCUUAAUUACUGAAUUUUAGUUGCAAAAAUUAGAUAGUGCUAGUGAUUUUUAGCUGCAUAUUUUGACAAAUCGCAGUGUUACAAGGAUUGACAAAUGGCAAUGUUACUAGAUCAACAAAUGUCAAUCUUUCUAGUUUGACAAAUGGCAAUAUACCCAAUAUGACUGAUGCAAAUCUUACCAAAUUUUCUGUACGUGGUUGCACAAGGGUCAUUCGAAAAAACCGUUUGCGUUGAAGGGAGUUAAUAAUCCUGCUUGCCAAAAAAAUUCUUGGCUUAGCGCCGAAGUCUCGCUUUGCAUACCUUAUUCAAUCUAAACCGUUUGUGUUGAAGAGAUGCACAAAUCCUGCGCAGUGAAUUUUCCCUUGGCUUACUGCGGAAGACCAUAGCUCUCACUUUGCAUACAUGUGUUUUAUCUAAAAUGUUUGCGAUGAAGAGCUGAACAAAUCCUGCUCGUCACAUUUUCCAUUGGCUUACUGGGGAAGCCGUCAGUGUACAUACGGGUGUUCUAUCUAAAACGUUUGCGAUGUUAGAGUGGCAGCUAGUUGUUUCAAAAUGCCCUUCACUACAAGAAAUAUGUCAACUUAUGACCUUCUAUCAGUGACCUUGGAAGAAUUGGUCAUAGAUUUAUGACCAUUUGAGACCAAUUGGUCAAAAGCUGUUCGAGGGGCUCCAAACCCUAAACCAUUGCGACCAUUUUGGUCAGAAAGGUCAUAAUUUCCUUACAUGAAAUGGUCAUAAAGCUAACAGUGCUAGUCCGCUGCCUUAUUUCUAGUUGUUAACGACCAAUAUAGAUGGUCAUAGCCUUGUAAAUUGUGGUGGGUUGCUAUGACUAGGCGCCACCUCAUCAGUUUUGCCUAUGUGUCAUGUCCAUGUGGCAGUUUUUGCCCUAGGUUGUGAAGCAACCUAUAUUUCUGUCAUUCCAAAAAUUCCCAAAAAAAUCUCAUAAAUUCUUUGGGUCAUAUCUUCAUCAAAUAUGUAAAAAUCUUCCUUGCCUAGUUCAAAAAUAAUUCAAAAUUAUUCAUUUUCCUAUUCUGUUCAGAGGAACAGUUUGUGAAGGAAGUACCACUUUGGCAUGUCCAAAUAGUAUCCAUUUUCUACAGUGCUUUCCUAUGACCAAAUAAAGAUCCUCCACAAAAUGCCAGCUCAAUCCAUUUAUUAUUUUGAGCCGAGCUUCAACAUUCGUAUUUUUGUCCAGUGUGGUGGUUUGCAAAGCAAGUACCACCUAGGCUCCUCCUUUUGAGCUAGAAAUUUGUGAAGACGGUCUUCUUAGUAACUGAUCAUCCUCAGCCAAAACUCACGCCCAUUAGCCAUGUACACUUCCCGUACCGCUAAUCAAACACAUGGCCGCUAAUUCAUGUUUGAGCAUCGAUCGGUCUCCUCGUGAGAAUCUUAUGUUGUAAUUUUGUUCCUAGCACCUACCUGGGGAGUGCUCAACCCACUAGACAUGUCUAGGCUGCCCAGAACACAAGGCAACGCCACGGUCACGUGGUGACCACGCGACGGGCAUGCAAGUUUACGCGCUCUAGAGUUAGGGCCCUCGGCCACCGCCCAAACCUCGACGUAUCACCACCAAACAAUGUAUUUAUGAUUAAAUAGGUACUUAUGUAACUAGAAAUUAUUUUUGGAAAAAAUAAAUAGCAAACUAUGAGGCAGCUGCAGUUCAAAUUUGACCCGCUUCCAACUAAAUCGGCGGGAAUUUGUCUUUUUCACCAGAGGUGGAUCCAAACUUUUGAAACCCAACCAUUUUGUCAAUUGUGCAUUAAAUAUGUCCUAAUAUUUUAUAAAAAUGAUUUGGUACAAUUUUGCAACAAUUAUUUGGUAGGUCCUUCACAAAAAAACCUCAUUUCGGGCACUCGAAAAAUGGAAAAUGAAUUUUCCGUGCAAAGCAAAUGAAAACUCCCUUUGGCAACAUUGUUUGGAAUUCCAAGAUGCACCCUUGUGCACAAUGUGAUAUCAUUUGAACAAACUAUGCCAUGAAUGUGGCCAUAAGGUUGAUCAUUUGGCUUGAAAGCCAUUGAUCUCCACACAUGAUAGCUCGUUUCUGAGAACACUUUUUUAAAAAUAAUUGCCGUAUUACAAGUUUGUUAUUUUUCCUGGGAACUUGGCCACAUAUGAUGACACAAUGCGAAGGUUUCCCAAUUUCUUGAUUUUUUUGAAUUUUUUAUGCCCGUUCCAAAAUGCGGACAAAACGGCGGGAAUGACCGUUCCUAGCUAGUGGUUGAAUCUUGGAAUUUUUUUGGUGUUUCUCUGAUUAAAUAGAUACUUAUGUACCUAGAAAUGAUUUUUGGAAAAAAUAAAUAGCAAACUAUGAGGCAGCUGCAGUUCAAAUUUGACCCGCUUCCACCUGAAUCGGCGGAAAUUUGUCUUUUUCACGAGAGGUGGAUCAAAAAAUUUUACACCCAACCAUUUUGUCAAUUGUGCAUUAAAUAUGGCCUAGUAUUUUAUAAAAAUGAUUUGGUCCAAUUUUGCAACAAUUAUUUGGUAGUUCCUUCACAAAAAAACCUCCUUUCGGGCACUCGAAAAAUGGAAAAUGGUUUUUUCGUCCAACGAAAAUGAAAACUUCCUUAGGCAACAUUGUUUGCUAUUCCAAUAUGCACCCUUGUGCACAAUAUGAGAUCAUUUGAACAAACUAUGCCAUGAAUGUGGCCAUAAGAUUGAUCAUUUGGCUUGAAAGCCAUUGAUCUCCACACGUGAUAGUUCGUUUCUGAGAACACUUUUUUAAAAUAAUUGCCGUAUUACAAGUUUGUUAUUUUUCCUGGGAACUUGGCCACAUAUAAUGACACAAUGCGAAGGUUUCCCAAUUUUUUAAUUUUUUUUUAAUUUUUUAUGCCCGUUUCAAAACGCGGUCAAAACGGCGGGAAUGACCGUUCCUAGCUAGUGGUUGAAUCUUGGAUUUUUUUUGGUGUUUCUCUGAUUAAAUAGAUACUUAUGUACCUAGCAAUGAUUUUUUUUAAAUAAAGAGGAAACUACGAGGUAGCUGCAGUUCAAAUUUGACCCGCUUCCUACUGAAUCGACGAAAUUUGUCUUUUUCAUGAGAGGUGGAUAAAAGCUUUUGACACCCAACCAUUUGGUCAAUUGUGCAUUAAAUAUGGCCUAAUAUUUUAGAAAAAUGAUUUGGUCCAAUUUUGCAACAAUUAUUUGGUAGUUCGUUCACAAAAAAACCCAUUUUGAGCACUCAAAAAAUGAUUAAAAAUAGCUAGAAAUAUGAAAAAUGCAUACAAAUUGGUCCUAAUCCAUAAAAUGUGGUCUAACUCUAGUGAAAAUUUGUGUGGUGCCCUUUUGCAAAAUAUUUUUGAUAGCUACUUCAUAAAAUCUUCUAUUUUUAGUACUUAAAAACUAUUCUACAUCACUGAUUUUCUGAACCAAUCAUAACUCUGUCCACGGAUCGAUGACAUGGCGUCCAUCCAUCCAUCCAUCCAUCUCUCCAUCCCACAUCCAUCCAUCCAUCUAUCUACAGAAAAGAAAAAAAAGAAAAGAAAAAGAGAUACCCACCACCCGAAGCCCAAACCCUAGCUCAGAUCGACCCCUCCCCCCGUCGCCCCCUUCCUCCCUCGUCCCCAUCUCCUAGCCGCCGCCCCCUUCCCGAUCUAGAUUCCUCCUCCACCGCCCCUCCCUUCCACCACCUAGUCGCCCCCUCAGCAGAUCAAGCGAGCCGCCCAACCUCACCGGCCUCCUCCUUCUCUUCUGGUCAGAUCCGACGGGCACAUCUUCCUGCAGCCACGAGCGACCACCCCGGCCUCCACUCCACCGUUGGCAUCCUUUCCCUCCCUCUCCGUAGAUCCUUUUGGGAAGCCACCUCGAGGGUGUCGCCGCCACCAGCGGGAGGGGGAGGGCGCCGCCACCAGCGGGAGGGGGAGGGCGCUGCCAUCAGCCGCGGCGGAGAGGUGGAGCCCCGGCACCCCCGACGGCUUUGCCGUCCCCAGGAGCCACUUCACCCCGCGCCUGAGCGCCAGCUGCUGCUCCUAUCGCGUCACCACGCGGGUGAACAGCGGCGGAUUCCCCGUACGUGAGGGCGAAGCAGGCGCAGGUAACACGACCGACCACCACCGCUACCAUCAGGCGCGAUCCCUUUCGCUUAUCUGCUGAGGAUGGAUGGAUGGAUGGAUGCAGGUUUGUGUGGGAUGAGGGAAAGUACCCAGGUCGCCAAGAUCGAGGAUGACAUGAAGGUAACUAACUCUGCUUCUCUCUCUAUUCAUUAGCCCACUUCUUCUUCAUACUGACCAAAUCACGCAUGGAUGCCAAUGAGAUUUUGGAACAUUGGCAGCAACUUAACACUGCAUUAGCUAGGCUAGUUGGGUACUGUAUUUUGGACAGUGUUGAUCUUGCCUACCAAGUGCAGUCUUAGUUUUAUACAUACCUUCAUUUUAUUUUGUGCUCAUAGAUGCAAAUAAGUGUUUUGGUUGGAUGUUACAUUUACAGAAGGACUGAAUAUGCCCUUUUGUCUAGUAGACCCAACACCACCUGAGGAUCAAAUUCACUGUUAGAAAGUUAGAAAUUGAUAUUACAGGUUCCUUAUAGUGCAAACCAAAGCAGCUACUCCAACAACCAUCAAAUGAAACCAUGUUUUUUAAAAUUAAAGGGUCUGAUUGAUAUUGGUCCUUCUUUUGACAGAUAUAAUAUGUAUACUCUAUUCUCUUACAACUAAUAACAUUUUAAAACUUCUUUUGGUCGUGCUUUCGCUUUCACUACAGACCAGAUCAGUGGUGAAUGAAAGAAACAAGUGCACAACUAGUAUCAGUGGGCUUGUAUUUUUCUUGUGUAGCUGCUCUGCACUUGUUGUACAGCAAGUUGAUCACUAUCUACCCUGCUGGGAAUUUUCACUUUAUAUAAAAUUUUGAGAGGCAAAUGCUGGCUAGGAACUCAACUCUGCUUCUUGUUGUUGGAGUUUUAGGCUUGUUGCAUAGUUCGUAGCUUCAAGUGUACUCUGGCUUCUAGCCACAGUGCACUACAAAUUAUUAUAGAAUUACAAAGUGUACACAACAUUGCACCUUACACAUUCUUCUCUUGUGAAAUCAAAUGCCAUGACUGGGCAUUCUUUUAUCAACUUGUUGUACAUUUGCUCUGCUUUAGGCUACUGUAUAACUUGUGCCUUUUAACUUGAUGUACAUAGCAUGCAAUUUUUUACUGUAUCACAUUCACACAUGAUACUCUUAAUAUAGAGUUGUUUUCCGAGCUAGUUCUGUUUACUCUUAAUAUAGGUCUAUUUGUCACCUAUACUUGCCUGCUAUGCUAUAGUAGACCUUGUUCAUAUUUAUUAGCUAAGUUUGCUUGUCCUUGGUAUCUAUAUGCAUGCCAUUUGUGUUUCAGGCUUUCUCUAAAAUGAAACAAUAGGCCUAUUAGUCACCAAUACUUGAGUUAAUCUAACUCCUUACCUACUAUGCUAUAGUAGGCCUUGUUCAUAUUUAUUAGCGAAGUUUACUUGUCCACAGUGAUCCAUAUACAUGCCAUUUGUGUUUAACGUUCUCUGAAAUGAAAUAAUAAGAUUCACACUCCAUGGACCAGGACGACCACCGGGACCUCCACGGCGAUGAUGAAGCCUGCACAUGGUCGAGCUCGAUGGAACAACAGUGCCUCAGUGUGGUGCAGCCGAGUUGGGCCACUCCGGUGCAUCAGGAACUCUGCAUGCUGCUGUCCUUUGUCUCAUCAUCUUAACUUCUGUUGUCCUUUGUCUCAUCAUCUUAACUACUACAGUAGUAGGAGUAUUUUAUAUGCUGUUCAUUUCUUGGCCGCCCAGCAUGUUUGCUAGUCAUCCAUCUGCCUCAUGUUAUAUGAUCCCUACCUAGUAACUUCAUUGUAUGCAGACUUGUGGUGUUGGUUCAAUUUAGUCAAAUUAAUAUAUAUACUGCUAUGCCACAACUACUACUACUGUCUGCAUUUAAUCCUGAUUAGUAGCUUCAUCCAUAAGUGGCAAACAAAAAAAAUGUUGAUUUUCAUCUUAUCUCUGUGACAACCAAUGGAGUUGAAUUGCAGCAUGCAUGUCAAAGCUGGGUUCAAUUCUUGGGCAAUAUAUGGUAGUUUCCACUCUUCAUGCCCAAGAUUAGUAUGCUGCAGCUCUCCCUCCUCACUCCAUACAUCCAGGUACUAGUUACCCAGCGAGCAGCCCUGCACCUCGCUGGAUCUCGCCCAAACCCCGCUCAUCUUACUGCUUGUGGCAGGGAAUACUCUCUGUUGAGUAUUUUGAGGAAUGAAUAUCUGUUAAAUAUGGAGUUAGGAUCAUCUAAUAAAAUUUCUACUAUAUAUAAUAUAUAUGCAUGAAACUGAGAUUGCUAGCAUCAUUUACACAAGAUACACCCUUUGAAUUGAAUUGAUUGGUUCAGUUUCGUAUAUUCUUCACCCAGCCUUCUAUCAUGCUUAUAACUAGUGCUCUGCUCAUGUUGUUAGAGAGGAUUUUCACUUCCUGCCAUCCCAACCUUCUAUCAUGCUUACAAGAUUUUUCUUUGCACGGCAGUAGCACCAGUACCUUGCUGCUGUUGGGAACGGAAGGGAGCUGUUCCAUGCAUUGAAUCUGGGGAGAAAAUCACCUUCGGCAUGUACAGCAUCACCGUGGGCAUGCUUGUGCCGCUGCUGCUCGGCCCCAACAUGUCCUGGAGUGCCAUUAGUGCCGCCCUCACGCUCAUCUUCCUCGACUUCAAGGACGCUCGCCCCUGCCUCGAGAAGGUAAUUGUGUGUCCAUCCGUCUGUAGUUAACUAAGUUGUGCCCCAUUGAUGUCCUACUAAUGUUCAUUGUUACUACCAUGGUGCUGAUGCUGUUCAGAAUAUGAUAUGUGCCUUAAUUCUAAGUUCUGGUCUCUCUUAAGAGACAUUUCUAGCUUUUCUGACUCAAAGUUGUUAACUUGGUACUGCAUGAGUUUUACUACUGCUAACACAGAGAGUAUUUACUAGUGCCAACACAGAGACUUUGUAUGCAUGCUACCUGAUGAGUGCUUUCUUUGUAAUAUUUCACCUUCGUAUGCAUAGGUUUAUUCGGUUUGAAUUCUGCAUGACAUGAAAUAGAUAUUUACAGUGUUUUUCUCAACUUGUUUUCACUGUCACUUGAUAUAUAUUUGCUUGUACUUGAAGCUGUGGGUUAAUGUUGGUGGUUUUGUUCUACUUGGAUGCAUUGGUACCCAUCAUCGAGCGAACGGAUGCAACAGCGGCAACAAGCUCAUGGCUGUGUGCAUCUAAAGCACACCAUGGACACCAUCCACUUCCUCAUAAAUGCUAACUCAAUCCAGAUCAUCGUCGACACUAUCAUCCACGGGUAUCUUCCUUGAUUCCCUUUAUUCUCUCCUGCCUUUGUGAAGUUUAGUAUGCGUGUGCUGACGAGUAUUGUUAGAUCUUGCCAGUUGAAUGUAUGGUCGUGUUAGUAGAAUGGUAUUUUGUUUUAGGCACAAUGUGUUGUAGUGCAGUUUUUUUGCACAACCUGCAUAUGUGCCAUGCAUAUUCAUAUUGUUUCUCUGUUUCUUAUAUGAACUACUAUCUCAUUUUAACUAGCUCGACAACAAAAAGCAUGGUACUAGCUGAAUGUUGAAUGGUCUGUUCUUGAAUGGUCUGUUCAUAAUAUAUUUGCCCCAGUUUUUCUCAUUCUUUUCUGAUUCAUGUAACAGGCUGACAGAGGAAGCCAUGUUGCUAUUUUGUUUGGUCUCAGCCCUGACUAUCGCCGUCGAGCGAGUCCGGCGUGUUGUUCUUCUGACUAUGGUUCCAGCCCUGACUACCGAAGUUUUUAUCCUGUUGAAGUUGCAUAGAAAUAUGAGAGAGUCCAGCGAGUCCAGGAGCUUGUGAAGUAGUACUAUAUUACACUUGUAGAGCUUGUAAAGUAUUGUAUUAUACAUGGCCCUUUGUACUGGCAUGGAUAGAGCUUGUAAAGUAUUGUAUUAUGUGAUCUGGUUGCUCUUGUUUAAGUAUUAUGUGUGUUUUUUGUCUCUGCGAAUCUGAAUACUACUUGAAAUAUGAAGAAUAUGAGUCUGAUAGAUGAGACCCACUUACCUGACAAAUUGAAACCUGUUACCAGAACCUGACAACUAGGACCCAUCUGACUAGUGGACCCAUUUAAUAAAAAAGAAAUGAAAUUGUUUAGCCAAAAUGGCCGCGGCCCAACAAUAAAAAAGGCUGCCAUAUUGGGCUUGGCCCAUGAUCCUGACCAAAAUUGAUGAAAAAAAACACAAAUAGGCUGAAUUGUUGGGCUCGGCCCAUGUAGAAAAUCGAAUUGGACCGGGCUGAAUCUUGUGCCACAUCAGCUUGCCACGCUGGAUGCCUACAUGGCCUGGGGGAGGUUGCUAGUGACCAAAACGCCACAGUAGGAAUAUUUUGGUCGUAAACAUCUUUGACCAUUCCAGAAGAAAGGUCGCUAUAGUCAGUUUACGACGCCUAGCUUUUGACCUUCUGUUUUUGGUCACAAAAAGGUCAUAAAUGGAAAUUUGUGACCUUUCAGUGACCAAUAGUGGUGGUCAUAAGUUGACAUAUUUCUUGUAGUGUUUGUUGACUAUUAUUCGAGUGAGCCUUCUCCCAAAAUGGACACGAAAAUUAACACAGCAUGUCGGGUGCCAUUCCAUGAUAGCAUGCCAAGUUUCAUGAAUUUCAGACGAGUUUUGGAUUUACUAGAAUUUAAAAACAAAGUAUCUCAUCAUUUUGCCGGCAGUAAAUAGUGAUGGUGUUUCAAAUUCAUUCCCAUUUCUUGCAUGGGACCUAAGCAUGCACCCAAGGACACAGAUUUGAUUUUCAACCAAUUUAUAUGCACUCGAGCUUGUGCAUGUAGUUCAAAUUUGAAUUAUGCACAUAAAAUGCCUAGAAACCCCAGUUAAUAUAUAAAAAUGUCCAAACAAACCCCAAAAAUUUCCAAAAUUGAACACAACACUCCUGUUGUUCUAUGUUGACAUUAGAAAUUUUUUGAAAGCACUAACAGGCAACGGGUAUCAUUUUAUCCCUAAAGGUGGCACGUUCCCUACUGAAACCAUCAGCUUGUUGUGAGAAGCUCUGGUUUGUGAGAAGCUUAUACCCAAACCCACCCCAAAUGAUACAAAAAAAUUACCAUGGCAUGUCGGAUGCCAUUCCAUGAUAGCAUGCCAGGUUUCAAAAAUUUCAGACGAGUUUUGGAUUUACUAGAAUUUAAAAACAAGGUAUCUCAAUGUUUGCGGCCGAGUGACGGUGGCAGGGUGUUUGACAUUCAUUCCUAUUUCUUGCAUGGGAUCUAAGCAUGCAACCAAGGACACAUAUUUGAAUUUUUAACCAAUCUAUAUGCAUUAGAGCAUGUGCAUGUAGUUUAAAUUUGAAUUAUGCACAUAAAUGCAUUGAAAACUCAAUUAACGCAUAAGAAGUGUGCUAACGAACCCCAAAAAUUCCAAUAUUUAACACAACACUCAUGUUGUUCUAUGUUGACACUAGAGAAAAAAUUUAAAUCAAGAAAAGGCAACGGCUAUCGUUUCGUCUAGAAAGGUGAAACAUUCCCUACUGAAACCAUUAGGUUUGUUGUGAGAAGCUCUGGUUUGUGAGAAGCUUAUACCCAAACCUGCCCCAAAUGGGACAAAAAAUUUACGACGGCUUGUUGAUGCCGCUCCAUGAUAGCAUGCUAUGUUUCAUGAAUUACAGACGAGUUUUGGAUUUACUAGAAUUUAAAAAUCAGGUAUCUCAAUGUUUGUGGCCGAGUGACGGCGGCAGGGUGCUUGACAUUCAUUCUCAUUUCUUGCAUGGGACCUAAGCAUGCAACCAAGGAGACAGAUUUGAAUUUUCAACCAAUUUAUAUCCAUUAGAACAUGUGCAUGUAGUUCGAAUUUGAAUUAUGCACAUAAAUGCAUUGAAAGGUCAAUUAAUGCAUAAAAAUGUCCUAACGAACCCCCAAAAAUUUCAAAAUUUAACACAACACUCCUGUUGUUCUAUAUGUUGACACUAGAGAAAAAAUUGAAAUCAAGAAGAGGCAACGGAUAUCGUUUCGUCCAGAAAGGUGAAACGUUCGCUACCGUAACCAUGAGGCUUGUUGCAGAAGCUCUGGUUUGUGAGAAGCUUAUACCCCAAACUGCCCCAAAUGGGACAAUAUUUUUACCACUGCAUGUUGCUACCGUUACAUGAUGGCAUGUCAAGUUUCAUGAAUUUCAGAUGAUUUUCCCAUUUACUAGAAUUUUAAAACCAUGUAUCUCAAUGUUAGCAGCCGAGCGACGAUGGCAAAAGGUGUUUGACAUUCAUUCCCAUUUCUUGCAUGGGACCUAAUGUUGCAACCAAGGACACACAUUUGAUUUUUCAACCCGUUUAUAUGCAUUGGAGCAUGUGCAUGUAGUUCAAAUUUGAAUUAUCCACAUGAAUGCAUAGAAAACUUGGUUAAUGUAUAAAAAUGUCCAUGCAAACCCCAAAAAAUCUCAAAAAUUGCAAACACUCAUGUUGUUCUAUGUUGACACGAGAACUUUUUUUGAAAGUAAGAAGAUGCAACAAAUAUCGUUUCGUCCCAAGGUGGCACGUUCCCUACCGAAACCAUCAUGCUUGUUGUAAGAGAAGCUCUGGUUUUCGAGAAGAUUAUACCAUAAUCUGGCCCAAAUGGGACAAUAUUUUUUACCCCAGCAUAUUGAUGUUGUUCCAUGAUAGCAUGCCAAGGUUCAUGAAUUUCAGACGAGUUUUGUAUUUACUAGAAUUACAAAAAAAGCACCUCAACGUUUGCCGGAGAGCCACGAUGCUGUGGUUUUGCAUAUCACUAGAACAAUUGACAUUAAUAGAAUUUACAAUAACAUCAUUGCAAUCAUCCUUUUCAUUCAAGGAGCAAUCAUGAAUCACUUUAUAAAUUUCUUCGUUUAACACUUCAUCACAAUUUUCAGAUUCAAGAAUCUCAAGCAAAACUUCAUAAAGAUAAUCUAGUGAACUCAAUUCAUUAUCAACUGAUUCAUCAUAAUUGGAUCUUUUGAAAAGAUUAGCAAGUGGAUGAGGAUCCAUAUCAAUAGGUUUUUAGCAAGCAAAGAUGCAAGCAAGUAGAAGACACAUGGCAACAUAAGCAAAGAGACAAACAAGAGAUCUGACUAGAAAAAGGCAAAUGGAAAAGAAGGCUACUAAAAAGGAAAAUAUUUGUGAAGUAGGGGAGAUGAAAAUGAGAGGCAAAUGGAAAAUAAUGUAAAUUGCAAUGAGAUGAGAUUUGUGAUUAGGAACCUGAUCGAUGUUGAUGAUGUCUCCCCGGCAAUGGCACCCGAAAUUCCUUCUGAUGUCGCUUGAACUACGUCGGUAUUUCCCCAAAGAGGAAGGGGUGAUGCAGCACAGCUAGAGUAGGUAUUUCCAUCAGUGAUGAGACCAAGGUUAUCGAACCAGUAGGAGAACCAAGCAACACUAUGUAAACGGUACCUGCACACAAAGAACAAAUACUUGCAACCCGACGCGUAAGAGGGGUUGUCAAUCCCUCCCGGAUAAAAGAUAGAUUUGUUUUGUAGUAGAUUGGAUAAAUAGAUCUUGCAAUAAAGCAAAAUAAAAUAAAUAAAGGAAAAGUGCAGUAAGGUAUUUUUGAGUUUUUGGGAUAACAGAUAUGAAAAUAAAGGUGAAUAAAAAAUAGAUCUCGAAGGCAAAUAUGAUAAAGAAUAAACCCGAGGGCCGUAGAUUUCACUAGUGGCUUCUGUGAAAAAAAUAGCAUAUGGUGGGUAGACAAAGUACUGUUGGGCAAUUGGUAGAACUUCAAAUAAUUAUGACGAUAUCCAGGCAAUGAUCAUUAUAUAGGCACCACGUCCAAGAUUAGUAGACCGACUCCUGCCUCCAUCUACUACCAUUACUCUACACAUCAACCGCUAUCCAGCAUGCAUCUAGUGUAUUAAGUUCAUGGAGAAACAGACUAAUGCAAUAAGAACAAUGACAUGAUGUAGACAAGAUCUAUUCAUGUAGGAAUAGACACCAUCUUGUUAUCCUUAAUAGCAAUGAUACAUACAUGUCAUGUCCCCUUCUGUCACUGGAACUGAGCACCGUAAGAUCGAACCCAUCAGAAAGCACCUCUUCCCAUGGCAAGAAAAAUCGAUCUAGUUGGCCUAACUAAACCAAAGAUUCGAAGAAGAAAUACGAGGAUAUAAGUAAUCAUGCAUAUAAGAGAUCAAAAGAAGACUCAAAUAACUUUCAUGGAUAAAAUAGAUCUGAUCAUAAACUGAAAGUUCAUCGGAUCCCAACCAACACACCACAAAAAGAGUUACAUCAAAUAGUUCUCCAAGAGACCAUUGUAUUGAGAAUCAAAAGAGAGAGAGAGGAAGCCAUAUAGCUACUAACUAUGGACCUGAAGGUCUACGAUGAGCUACUCAUGCAUCAUCCAAGAGGCACCAAUGAUGAUGAUGAACCCCUCCGUGAUGUCUUGAUUGGAUCUGGCGUUUUUGGAACUUGCGGCGGCUGGAAUUGUGUUUCGUCGACUCUCCUAGGGUUUUUGGAUUUUGGGGGUAUUUAUAGAACAAAGAGGCAGUGUGGGAGGCGGCCGAGGUGGGCACAAUCCACCAGGGUGCGCCUGGGCCCCCAGGUGCGCCUAGGUGGGUUGUGCUCCCCUCGGAGCCCCCUCUAGUACUUGUUUGGCCCAACAGUUGUCUUCUGGUCCAGAAAAAAUCUCCAAAAAGUUUUGCUGUGAUUUUCUGCGAAGUAAAAAACAAGCAAAAACAGCAACUGGCAUUGGGCACUAUGUCAAUAGGUUAGUCCCAAAAAAUGAUUGUAAAACAUCCAAAAUUGAUAAUAUAACAACAUGAAAUAAUAAAAAAUUAUAGAUACGUUGGAGGCGUAUCACUCUUUCGGACUAAAUGUAAAUAAACCGUAAUUAACCGAUCUAAAUAAAAAAACCUAACUGUUCACGGGAUCUAAUCUAAGACGUUAUAUUGAAAUCGAACGGAGGAGGCGGCGGCGGCUUAUAGUGACGGGCCAUGGCGACGCGGGUGGCUCGGGCGACGGUGGCGGGGCUUCUCCGGCGGUCGGCGGCGGUGGCAGAGGUGUCAGGGAGAUGCAGCUCGGCGGGGGCGUCACAGGGAUGGGGUCGGUGAUGGACGAGGUCAACGGACGGCGUCGAGGCAAGGUAGUAGAGGCUCGGGUGGUUGGUGCGCUCUGGCGAGAGCUUGGCGACAUCGAAGCGCGGUUGUGGUCGCUCAUGUGCAUCACGAAGAUGUCAAACAGGACCGAAAGAAACUGGGCCGAUGGCCGAAGGUUGAGGGGCGGAGAGGGCUCACCUGCGUUGGAGACAGCGACGAACAACGGCGGCGGUCGUGAGAUUGGGACAGAGAGGGUGAGCGAGGUGUUGGGUUUUUCGACAUGGCGUUUAGGGGGUUCAGUCGAGGUGGUUGAGGGGUAUUUAUAGGACAAAGACUUGGAGGAGGAGGUGCGCUCCGGUGUGUGCGGGAUACAGGCGGUUGUUACGGGAGAACAGAGACGACGUGGGCCCUGUCGGUCAGCGGGCGUCGGAAUGGCGGUGGUGUUCAGGCGGCCGGUCUGUAGUGGACUCGAGCGCAGGGGCACGCCGCUGCGUAGGUGGCUGGGCCGCGUGGCUGUUGGGCUGGCCAGCCUGGCGCCUGGCUGGCGCCGGCUGCGUUUUUUUUUAUUUUGACAAAAAAUAAAAUACGAAUAGAGAAAAAAUAAAAAAAAUAAUUUUAUAUAGACAAUAUACAUAUCAAAAUUCUUAGAAAAAUAAAUCCUAAAUGGUGAACUAUUUUUCAGAGGCAAAAUCCAAACUUUAUAAAAAUAUUUUUUUUGAAAAUUCCAAAUAAAACCCAAUUUGAAUUCAAAUAAUUUUGGCAUUAUUUUCUUCUAACUUUUUGAGGCGUCAUGUUACCUCCUCUCAUAUUUUUUGAUUAAAGUAUUUGUCAAAAAAUUUUGAAAUGAAUUUUGAAUGCCAGUUUGAAGUGAAUUUUAAUUCAAAUAGAAAAUAUUCAAAUGCCUUUGUGUUUUUUCAAAUUCCACCACAAUCAAACAAAAUGCAAUAGAUGCUUAGCUAAAAUUGCCGAACAUUCCAAAUUGAAAAUUUGGGAUGUUACAAAAGAAAACUGGGGUGGGGCUUUGUGGCAGUCUGAUCCGCCGCCACGUAGGACUCUGACACCCCCGGCUGACUCAAGUCCUCCCUCCUGGUCUCACCUCUUCCACUCCGCUUCUGCUUCCCCUUUAUUUGCAUCCACACCCUCCUAGUCUGAAUCCGCCCCUGUACCUCUCCUACCACCGCCCAAGCAUUGUCGGAUGUCAGCAACACCCAUCCACAUGAUCGCUUGCCUUGUACUACGGUGUCAUCCAAUGAGGAUCCGUCCGCAGCCAGGUAUCCUCCGACCGCCUGUCAACGCCGUCCAUGGUGUGUACUGUAAGUGCAUCUAGUGCCACCCCUAGUUGGUUUUGGAGUAUUGACGACAAAGUUGGUUGAGGGACUAAUGCGUUUGUGAGAAUUGCAGGAUAACGCAGGAAGUGUCCCUCAUUGAUUCGGUUUACCUACCGGAGAUGACCCCUAAAAAUGUAUGAAGACAUUGAAGACAAUGGUGGUGUGUGAAGAUAUUCACACUGAAGACUAUGACAUGAGAAGACAUUGAGUGAAGACUAUGGAGCGCGAAGACUGAGUUGUUUUGUUGUUUCCUUUUCUUCUUUGUUGAGUCAUAGGAAUCACCAUACUGUUAAGUGGGGUCCAAGUGAACAUAGUCAGAGUGACUGAAGUGAUGCUCAACCCAAAUCCUAUAUCUUCGAGCGAAGACAAUGAGAGCAAAUCUUAUCCAGAGCUGGAUGAGUCAGAUUUGCUUCUAGCCCAAGUAAAGUUGCCGUGUGUGUUUGAAAUCUGACCGUUGGAACACGUGUCAGUUCCUUAGUGACCCAGGGUCAUUUCGGACAUAUCAGGUCGGGUUGCCUUGUGGCUAUAAAUAGCCCACCCCCUACACCAUAAAUUGGUGGCUGCUCAGAGUUAGUUUACGAAUUUUGUCGUUUUGAGAGCAACCCACCUUGAAGCCUUUGAGAGAGAAAUCCUUGCGAGGACAUAGCCCAAACACCCAGAGCCAAAGAGUGUUAGGCAUCACUGAAGUCUUUUUGUCUGUGUGACCUGAAGACUUAUUACACUUGAGGACUGUGUAUCCUCCAGCCGGUUAGGAGUCGCGUUCUGAGCAUCCAAGAGUCAUUGUGGAUUGCCGGUGAACAAAGUCUGUGAAGGUUCGGAAGUCUACCUUGAAGACUUACCAGAGUGAUUGGGCGAGGACUGUGUGUCCUUAGCUCAAGGGGAAUAAGGUGAAGACGCGGUCUUCUGAGUUGAAUCUCAGCCUCCCUAACCAGACAUACAGUUGUCACAGCAACUGGAACUGGUCCAACAAAUCAUGUGUCUUCAACAAGUGACUGGUUCUAUCCCUUCCCUCCUUUACUUUGAGUUUGUCUUCGUGAAGUCAUUGCUUAAUUGCCUUAUCUGUUUGACUUCAUUGCUUGACUACUUUCGUUGAUUGGCUUCGUACUAUCUUCCAUCCUGAUCCUUACUACCUAGCUGCUAUUAGUCUUUGUACAUUCACAUUAUUGCAUACUUGACUAUGGUUUGCUUGUUGUAGUUUAUCUUCCGCUGCAUAUCAAUUAGGUCAUUUCUAUUGUUUGUCUUCGAAACUUCCAUGUUUUGAAGACUUAGAUAAAAAUCGCCUAUUCACCCCCCUCUAGUCGUUAACUAGCACUUUCAAUUGGUAUCAGAGCAAGGUACUCCCUUGUUCUGUGUGAUUCGGUUUAACCACCUGGAGUUUAGCUAUGUCGACUGCAGGGAUAAUCAAAGUCUCCGCUGCUUGCCCCGUGUUCGAUGGAACUGAAUAUCCCUACUGGAAGAAUAAGAUGCGCAUGCAUCUUGAAGCCAUUGAUGUCGAACUCUGGUAUGUCGUCAAGAACGGCGUUCCAAAAACUGGUGAAGGUGUCACCCCUGCUGAUGUCAAGAAGUUUAUUCAACUGGACUCAACUGCAAAGAACAUUGAGGGAGUCCUGGAUUAGGGGGUGUCCGGAUAGCCGGACUACCAUCAUCAGCCGAACUAUCAUCGGCCGGACUAUCAUCAUCGACCGGACUCCAAGACUAUGAAGAUACAAGAUUGAAGACUUCGUCCCAUGUCCGGAUGGGACUUUCCUUGGCGUGGAAGGCAAGCUUGGCGAUACGGAUACGUAGAUCUCCUACCAUUUUAACCGACUCUAUGUAACCCUAGCCCUCUCCGGUGUCUAUAUAAACCGGAUGGCUCUAGUCCGUAGGACACAACAACAACCAUUACAAUCAUACCAUAGGCUAGCUUCUAGGGUUUAGCCUCCUUGAUCUUGUGGUAGAUCCACUCUUGUAAACAUCCACAAUAUCAAUAUUAAUCAAGCAGGACGUAGGGUUUUACCUCCAUCAAGAGGGCCCGAACCUGGGUAAAACAUUGUGUCCCUUGUCUCCUGUUACCAUCCGCCUAGACGCACAGUUCGGGACCCCCUACCCGAGAUCCGCCGGUUUUGACACCGACAUUGGUGCUUUCAUUGAGAGUUCCUCUGUGUCGUCACCGAUAGGCUUGAUGGCCUCUUCAAUCGACAACGACGCAGUCCUGGGUGAGACUUUUCUCCCCGGACAAAUCUUCGUAUUCGGCGGCUUCGCACUGCAGGCCAACUCACUUGGCCAUCUGGAGCAGAUCGAAAGCUACGCCCCUGGCCGCCAGGUCAGGUUGUCAGAUCAGGUUUGGAAGCCUAAACUUCACGGCCGAUAUCCGCGGGGACUUGAUCUUCGAUGGAUCUGAGCCACAGCCGAGCGUGUCGCGCUGUCACGAUGGGCAUGACCUAACUUUGCCAUCGGACAGCACCUUGGAGGCCGCACACGAAUCCGCUCCGACCCAUAGUCCGGAGCCGAUCGCUUAGAUCGAGGACGGAUGGCUGGACACCGCCUCGGAGGCUGCAACUUCUACGGCGAUGGAGCCGAACACUUAUCUUGUCCUGCAUAAAGCCCAUGACUCCGAGGUGUCGGACCCCCUGCCGGACUCCGAACCUCCUGCGCCCCUGCUAGUCGAAUCCGAUUGGGUGCCGAUCAUGGAAUUCACCGCUGCGGACAGCUUUCAGCACUCACCCUUCGGCGAUAUCUUAAAUUCGCUGAAGCGUCUCUCACUAUCCGGAGAGCCCUGGCCGAACUACGGCCAGGAUGGUCGGGACGCGGACAAUGAAGAAAUUCAGAGCCCACCCACCACCCACUUCGUAGCCACAGUCGACGAUCUAACCGACGUGCUAAACUACGACUCUGAAGACAUCAACGGUACAGACGACGAUGCCGGAGACGAUCAAGAACCAGCGCCUACAGGGCACUUGAAGGCCACUUCGUCACAUGACAUACAUAUGGUGGACACCCCAAGGGUAAGAGAUACCGAGGAACAACGGACGCGGCAGAGGAUAAUCCCGCCAAUAAACAACCAAAACGGCGACGUAGACGCCGCCUAAGUCCCGCCUCGAUCAAAGCAACAUUCCUAACGACCCAGCGAUAGAGCAGGGCAAACCAGCGGACGACGAACAUACAACCAAGCAACCAUCCGAACAGGACGAACCGGAUAAUCAACCCCUUCACGGAGCAAUCAACAGUCCGGACACACCACCGGAGCAUAAGAACCUUCACAAAAGACUCGUGGCCACUGCAAGAAGUUUGAAGAAGGAAAAAAGGAAGCUCAAAACAGCGGAAGACAUACUCAGAAUGAAGUGGAGCAAAAUACUCAAGACCGCAGACAAAUAUGGCAAUGGCCAUCAAACAAAGAGCUACCCGAAGCGCAAGCUGCUGCCAGAAUUUGACGAGGAAGCCAUAGAGCCCUCACAGUCAAAAAAUAAAGAGGCCGCCUGGCCGGAUAGACAGCCAGAUGACAGGCCAAAAGCGACAAGCGGCACCGCACACAAGCCGACUUAUGAUCCUGGGAAAACGGACGGCCCAACUAGGUCCAUCUACCGGCAAAAAAGGAGGGCCCCAGGAAGUAACACAACACGACAAGUGUUCGAAGAUAGCGGCACACCCAAAUACAGGGGCGCCGCACACCCGCUAUGUUUUACCGAUGAGGUGCUGGAUCAUGAAUUUCCAGCAGGGUUCAACCCAUAAACAUAGAGGCAUACGACGGCACAACAGACCCAGGAGUCUGGAUAGAAGAUUACAUACUACACGUACACAUGGCUAGAGGAGAUGAUCUCCACGCCAUAAAAUACCUACCCCUCAAGCUCAAAGGACCAGCUCGGCAUUGGCUCAAAAGCCUCCCAGAAAACACUGUUGGAAGUUGGGAAGAGCUUGAGGACGCGUUUAGAGCAAAUUUUCAAGGGACUUAUGUCCGCCCUCCGGAUGCAGACGAUCUGAGUCAUAUAACCCAACAGCCCGGAGAGUUAGCGCGCAAAUUCUGGAACAGGUUCCUUACCAAAAAGAACCAAAUAGUCGACUGUUUGGACGCGGAAGCCUUAGCAGCUUUUAAACACAACGUCCGAGACGAAUGGCUCGCCAGACACGUCGGCCAAGAGAAGCCAAGAACAAUGGCCACGCUAACAAGCCUCAUGACGCGCUUUUGCGCAGGAGAAGACAGCUGGCUAGCAAGAUGCAGCACCAGCGACCCGAGUACAUCCGAGAUCAGAGAUGGAAAUGGAAAAUCACGGCGCAGGAAAGAUCAGCGCCGGAAUAAAGAAAAAAGCCCAAAGGGCACGGUGGUCAACGCCGGAUUCAAAAGCUCGCGGCCAAACAAUAAAACACUGCCUCUUAAGGACAACAGCGACGAGCUAUCAAAUUUAAACAAAAUUUUAGAUCGGAUAUGUCAAAUCCACAGUACCUCCGGAAGGCCUGCAAACCAUACCAACCGAAAUUGUUGGGUUUUAAACAGUCCGGCAGACUCAACGCCGGACACAAGGGGCUCGAUGCGCCAAGCGAGGACGAUGACGAACCCCACCAGCGGAGCACCGGAGGUCAAAAGACUUUCCCAAAGGAAGUCAAAAUAGUAAACUCACUUCAUGUGAUAGUACGGAAAACCAACACGGCACUUGCUAUGACAAGUGUCUCACGGUCCACCCCAGCGGAACACCGAGAUUGGAUGUCAAAACCAAUCACUUUCGACCAUCUGGAUUAGUCCAGAAGUAUCCGGAACGCAGGAUAGACUGCCCUGAUAUUGGAUCCCAUAAUAGACGGACUGCAAUUCACGCAGGUUUUGAUGGACGGCGGCAGUGACUUAAACCUGCUAUAUCCGGACACAAUCCGCAAGUUGGGAUAGACCCUACUACAAUUCGGCAUAGCCGCACUCCCUUCAAAGGAGUGGUGCCAGGCCCUUACGGCAGGUGCAUAGUUUCAUUAUUAUUAGAAGUUGUGUUCGGGUCACCUGACAACUUCCAACGAGAAAAGCUAACCUUUCAUGUCGCCCCAUUUAAAAGUAGCUAUCAAGCAUCACUGGGACGGGAAGCUUUUGUCCGCUUCAAUGCAAUACCACAUUACGCGUCUCUUACGCUUAAAAUGCCCGGUCCACAUGGCAUCAUUUCAUUAAAAGGUCGCCUGAGACCCCGGACACGGCUGGACGAGUCCGGAAUAAAUAAGCUAGGGGCUACCUAGCCACACACCCCUUCACAAGGGUUUGUACAUAUAAGCCAUAAUGAGCUAGCAUAGGCUCAGCUUUAUUAAUCUAUAUUUCAAUUUUUUAUGCACUUUCUCGCACGAUUUCUUUUCAAACUAAGUUCCUCUGUUUUUACAGAUGAACAUCGUGCACACCCGUCCAGGAUACGGCACAACGGAGACACAGGCGCAGACGUGCAGUAGGGACCCGUUGCAAGGACUCUUUUCAGACUAAGAUCCUACGUAAACCAUUCUUACUGUCUCUUGUUGCUAUAAUCCCCUGGUUUCUCAUUAUAACCAGAGUGGAGACUGGCAUUUUGGCAUCGGCCGCGCCAGAAGAACCUGCCCGUACCUGGACACAAGGGGCUUAGGGCAUUGUUUUGCCCGCUAUUGUAAAGACCGAACACCUUCGGGAGUGUUCGGCGUCUCGAGUUAGGCCUUAUAUGCAUCAGCUCCGAAUCAUGUCUUUGGUCAAAUGUUGGGUUUGCCCGGCUCCUGUGUUUUGCUGCCUUACAUUCUGUAUCAUCGGCUAACGCGGCACCAGGAGAACUACUGCGAUUGUGCCCCAGUUUGGCUGGGCGAGCACCUCAGUAGAGAAAGCCGAAAACUGACUAUCAUGAUACAGCGAGAGACUGGUCAACCACUCGAUCGACCAUGGGAAUGUUUAGAAUUCCUCCGCCUCGACGAAGGGCCGUUUCCCAGUUAGGCACAUACGCGCCCCAAAUUUGGAGAGCGCGGUGCCCCCAGGGGCUAUGUCGUAGCCCCAUCCUCGAACUCCAUGGCUAAGUGAAAGUGAUAAAGCAUUAUAGUCCGGUUGCCUCGUUUGCUACGCUACCACCUCCUUUACAGGACCGAGACGUCGGAUUAAAUGUGAAAAUGCGCUAUUUUUUGCGAACACCCCCGCACCUUGUGCGUGGGGGCUGAAGCCGACGACUGCCAUCUUUCAGGUUAUACACACGUAUACAUGAACGGCCGCAUAGGAGAUAUUCUAUUACUUGAACACACAAGUAUAAAAGGCGCUUACAUCAUAAAUAUUUUUUUACAUCAUAAAAACGUUCAUUCGAACGUAACAUUUUUUGAGCACUGCGACUCUAUUACACGAGCACCACGCAGCACUUCGCCAAAAUAGUGCUCGGCGGGUAACCGGUUAUUGUCCGAACCCAGGGUCGCAACAGCGGUGGCAUCCAUCUUUGUCCAAUGUGUCUUCACACGGGCGAGUGCCAUCCGCGCACCCUCUAUGCAGGCCGACCGCUUCAUCGCCUUGAUAUGCGGCACCGCUCCAAGAAAUUGCUGCAAUAAGCCAAAGUAACUCUUCGGCUCGGGCCUAUCCGGCCAGACAUGGGUCACUAUAUCCGUCAUAGCAAGCCCGGACAACCUAUUUAGCUCAGUCCACUCGGCCAAACGGUCGGUCAGCGGAAGUGAACACUCUGGACUAUGGAAUUGAGACCAAAACAGCUCUUCUGUCUUGUGAUCCUUCUGGCUUUGAAAAUGCACAACGACUUCCGCCGCACUCGCUGCCAAGUCCAUAUAAGGGUCCUCUGGACCCCAAAGUUGGCCCAGCUGAGCAUACUUUGGAUCCAUAAACCUUCGGCGCAGCAGAAAAGGCUUGCCAGCUACAAUUUCUCCGGCCUGGCGCAGCUCUUCCCUUAUAGCCCGCAUUGCAGAGCGGGCAUCCUUGGCUUCGGCGGUGGCCUUCUCCAGGUCUUCUUGCCCCGCUAGGCGCUCCUUCCCAAGAGCCUCAUUACGGUCGGUAGCAUCUUUUAACUUCACGGCCAUUUCGGCCAUCUCUUCCCUGCUCCGGCAGUGUGCGGACCUUUCGGCCGCUAACUCCUCGGCCGCCCUCGAGGCUGCCGCAUUACUCCUUCUGGCCUGCUCCUUGGCUUGAGCAAGUUCGGCCCGAAGGCUCUCCACAGCAGCGGCACUAUCUGCAUUUCACACACAUGUUGUAAGGAGCUGGCUUCGGCCCCCUUACCAAGUGACCGCACAGAAACACUUACCUUGCGACUCAUCAAGUCGCCUGUGGACCAGCGUGAUGUCCGCAUCCGCAACAGCGAGUUGCCGCUUUAGUUCAGCAACUCCAUCAGUCCGGCUGGCCCCCGGACGACCCGCCACCUGCAUCGGCACGGCGGAAAUUUAAACCUGCGAUUUUGAUCCUCGGCACGCUGUCGAUUUCGACAACCUACCGAGUCUUAGGGGCUACUAUCUAUACAGGGCGCAUUCUAUAUGCAAAACUGCUAAAAGGUGUGUCAUUUUUACGUACCUCAAACUCCGCCAGCAAACUCCUGACGGCAUUAUGCAACCCGCCUUCGGCGGACGAAAUCCUUUCAAUCACCAUGCUCAUCAAUGCGUGGUGAUCUUCUGAGAUAGACGCCUUCUCAAGCAGAUCCUUCAGCCGUACACCAGUUGGCGCCGAACUAUCCGGCUUUGCCAAACCAGGGGGCUCCCUCCGUGACGACACUUCAGGCUCGUCCGCCCUAUCCGACGGCGCCCCGGACGGAGGCGUCUCGCUCUCCAUCAUCUCCGGACGAAGGUCCCCCGAAGACGAGCUCAUUUGCGAAGGACGGAGAUCCGAACUACAAGGUAAAAACUUUAGUUAUCCUCAGAAGCACAAGUAGGGAUGUCCCUUAUUAUAAAAUUCCUUUCUUUCUACUUACGGCUUGUUGGAGGGCUGAUUCUCAAAGGGAGAUUGUGCGGCCGGGGCCUCCCCGGACGCAGGGCCCUCUGGCGAAGAUUUCUUCCCCCGUUUAGGGGCUUUUGCCCCCGGGUCCUCGGAGGCAGUCCUCUUCUCCCCUUGGAGGGAGGGAUUCUCGAUCCCCCCUCUUUCAAGAGCCUCCUUAGGCGAGGCAGUAGCUUUCCUGCUUUCCCCUUCGCCUUCCUCUGGAGGCGCAACCUCAAGCAUCCGGACCAGCACGGAAUCCGGCGCGGUCUCGGGGAGGGGGGCCGGACACCAUAUCAAUUUUGCUUCCGCUAUCCACUCCUGUUUAGAAGGAAGUUGGUCAUAAGGCGAAUCAUCGAAAGGCAAACAAACAGUAUGUCCGUACUUGGAACUACUUACUUGAGUAUCGGGGCGAUUGCAGCUUAGGCCAGCAUCCUCGGUCAAUUCUGGACGCGCCUCUUGCGAUCUGAAGAAUAAUUUGUACAUCUCCAGGGGUGUCAUACCCAUGAAGUGUUGAUGAAUCCGUGGGCCCUCCGGAUUGAACUCCCACAGCCGGAGAGGGUGGCGUUUGCAGGGCGGGAGACGCCUAAUCAGCAUAACCUGCAUUACCACCACCAUAUCAACCUCCCUCGUUUGGAGAUCUCGAAUCCGGCCCUGCAGUAGGGGCACGUCCUUUGACGGCCCCCAGUUGAGCCCUUGGGUGACCCACGACAUCAACCAUCAUGGAGGUCCCGGGCGGAAUAAGGGCGGUGGCUUUUGUCUGCGGCCCCUCGGAAUGGUAAUAUAGAACCACUCUUGCUGCCACAGGCCGAGCUCCUCUUGGAAGGAGCCAGCGGGCCACGGGGCAUCGGCCCUCCUACUUAUGGCCGCCCCGCCGCACUUCGCUUGACGCCCCCCGAUCAUCUACGGCGCCACAUUGAAGGUCUUCAGCCACAGGCCGAAGUGAGGGGCGAUGCGGAGGAAGGCUUCGCAGAUGACAAUAAAUGCGGAAAUAUGGAGGAUGGACUCCGGAGCCAAAUCGUGGAAUUCCAACCCAUAGUAAAACAUGAGCCCUCUCACAAAAGGAUCCAUCGGGAAGCCUAAACCCCGACGGAGGUGGGAUACAAAAACGACAUACUCGCCGGGCUCGGGGGUGGGGAUGGCUUGCCCUUCGGCAGGCAACCAGUGCGAAAUCUCAUAAGUUAGGUACUUGGCCUCCCGCAGCUUUAGUACGUCCUCCUCCGUGACGGAGGAGGGCAUCCACUGGCCCUGGAGGUCGGAACCGGACAUCUUUGAAGGUCCGAAGCGCUCGAAUCUGGAGCUCUAGGUGCUGGAACUUGGAGCGGGGAGAGGAUUCGAUGGAGGAUUGAAGAAAAGAAACGAGCCUUGGUCCCAUUAUAAAGAGGGAGAAUACCGAGAGCCGUCUCCGUGACCGUUUGGGACUCGCCUUCGAUAGAGGGGGCGUGGCGACGGGCGCAGUUGGGUUACCCACGUCCGUAUUGAUGAGAAUCCCGGAUUAAGGGGAAACACGAUCUCUGCUUCGACAAGACGUGCCAAGGAAACCGCUUCGCUAAAUGCGCUGAGGUGGUAGAGUAAAAAAUGAUUCAAGUAAUGGCUUGGUAGUGGCGUGACGUCAUGCCGCAAAAAACGUCAGCAGAUUGAACUUGUGUAUAUAUUAUUCUCUCUACGGUGGAAUGUGGAAUUUAUUUUGCAGAGCCGGACACUAUCCUGGUGUUCACAAUCUUCUAUCAUUCGGAGGAGGAACCCGCCUUGCAAUGCCAAGCAAUAUACGCGCCGGACUUAUCGUCAUUGAAGCCUGGUUCAGGGGCUACUGAGGGAGUCCUGGAUUAGGGGGUGUCCGGAUAGCCGGACUACCAUCAUCAGCCGAACUAUCAUCGGCCGGACUAUCAUCAUCGACCGGACUCCAAGACUAUGAAGAUACAAGAUUGAAGACUUCGUCCCGUGUCCGGAUGGGACUUUCCUUGGCGUGGAAGGCAAGCUUGGCGAUACGGAUACGUAGAUCUCCUACCAUUUUAACCGACUCUAUGUAACCCUAGCCCUCUCCGGUGUCUAUAUAAACCGGAUGGCUCUAGUCCGUAGGACACAACAACAACCAUUACAAUCAUACCAUAGGCUAGCUUCUAGUGUUUAGCCUCCUUGAUCUCGUGGUAGAUCCACUCUUGUAAACAUCCACAAUAUCAAUAUUAAUCAAGCAGGACGUAGGGUUUUACCUCCAUCAAGAGGGCCCGAACCUAGGUAAAACAUCGUGUCCCUUGUCUCCUAUUACCAUCCGCCUAGACGCACAGUUCGGGACCCCCUACCCGAGAUCCGCCGGUUUUGACACCGACAAACAUCAUCUGUGGUCAUCUGACCAAAGGACAGUAUGGUCGUGUGAGUGCUCUGGAAACGUCAAAGCUAGUAUGGGACUGGCUGUCCAAGGUCAACGAAGGCAUCUCAACUCAGAGAGAUCAAAGGAUCAGUAUUCUUCGCAACCUCUUCAACCGCUUCAAGAGAAACGACAAUGAAAAUGUCCAGCUCACGUUUGAUCGCCUCAGCGACAUCACAAAUGAGCUUCAGGCUCUCGGUGCCACUGAGAUCACCAAGCAUGAAAUCGUCAAGACGCUGCUGAGAUCUCUUGACAGCUCCUUUGACACCCUUGCCCUCAUGAUACAAGAACGUCCUAACUUCAAGACUCUCGAUCCGUCUGAUAUACUUGAGAGGCUCAACACACAUGAGUUCCAGCUUUCUGAGAAAACAGAUAUCUAUGGCCCCAACUAUGGCCGAACUCGUGCUUUGAAGGCAAAAGUUGUUUCCUCAUCUAAAGAAGAAGAAUCUGACUGCGGUUCUGAUGAUCCUGAAGACAUUGGAACGGAACUUUCUAUGCUUGUGAAGAAGUUCCAGAAAUUCACCAAGAAGAAGGGCUUCAGAAAGUCUUCACGAUCCAGUUCAAGAAAUGAUGAAGCUUCCACUCAAGACAACAAGAAGAGAACAUGUCACAAGUGUAAGAAGCCUGGGCACUACAUCUCUAAGUGUCCUCAGUGGGACAAUGAGAAGAAGAAGAAGAAGAGGAAGGAAUAUGACUCUGAUGACAAGAAGAAGAAGAAGAAAUCUUCAAAGUCUUCUUCCAAGUCCUCAUCAAAGUCUUCAUCUCAUAAGAAGAGCUCAUCUGGCAAGGCUCGUGCUUUUGUUGGCAAAGAAAUGGAUUCAGAGGAGGAGUCUGCUUCUAAGGAGGCGGAGGUGGAAUCUGAAGCUGAGUCCAACUCUGGCGUUGCAAGUCUGGCUCUAGCCACAGCCUACGUUGCCAAGUCCAUCUUCAACACUGAAGACAAUGACUCCCACUCCAACGUUGAUGAUGAAAAGGACGAUCCUGCUCCCACCUACUACUUCAUGGCAUGCGGUGCCAAGGUAAAAUCACGCGAUGCUUACUUUCAAACAUCAAGUGAAGAUGACUCUGAUUGUGAAUCUAAACCCAGCUACAAAACACUUGCUAAAAUUGCUACUGAACAACAAAGGGCUAUGGAACAUAUUAAAAAACUGUUAGACAAAAGCGAUGACCUGUUGGACGCGGAAAUGACACGUUCACAGUCCUUAGUUGAAGACAUAAAAACUCUUCAUGCUAAGUAUCAAGAACUUGAAAGUCUUCAUGAGACGCUCUCAACCACUUAUGAAAAGCUCUCCUAUGAUUAUCUUCAAAGGAAGCAAGAGCUUGAGAAAUUGAAAGCGACUCAUGAAGAUCUUGAAAAAGAGAAUGAGUCAUUUUGCGCUCAAUAGAUCAGUUCUGCUCAGGAUGGAUUUGAACCACCAUGUUUAAAAUGCAUUGAGUGUAAUAACGCUACCUCUGUUGCUGAAUGUUCAAAUGCUGCUACUGUUGCUUUGUCUUCAACUACUGAUGUGGUAACUAACCCCUCGGCUGAGGAUACCACUACUAUUGCUGAUGAAAAUGCUAGGUUGAAGACACUGCUUGAAACAGGGAUGUAUAAAAGUCUGAAAGGACAUCAGACACUUUGUGAUGUCCUCAAAAAGCAGAUUCUGAACCGAAACCCUAGGAAAGAGGGUGUUGGGUUCGAAAGGAAAAUGAAUGCUGAUGGUUCCUACUGGAAGCCUGAGAAGUAUCCCAAAACCACAUGGGUUGCUGCAAAGGAACCUUCAGUGGAUCCAUCCACUUUAUCUGGCUUUACCUGUGCAAAUCCUAUUAUCAUUGAUGAAUCCUUUGAUGCAAACUAUAAACUGUUCAAAAAUCAGAAUGGUGAAGUGUUUGCCAGGUAUAUUGGUACUAACCGCAGGAAUGGAGCACCUAUGAAGAAGAUCUGGGUUCCCAAAAGCUGUCUUGAGAAUCUUCCAGUGAAUGUCAUCAUGACACCACUUGGGAAGAAGACAAAUCCCAAACCAAAGGCAUCAUAUGGUCCAACGGCUUCAUACGAAUACAGGACUCACUUGAGUCACCCUAACGCCAAUGUUUUGCAGGGAAAUCGUACUCAAACUUAUGAAUAUGAAUGUGUGUCCUCAAACCGCCAUGUACAUAGGACUAAGAACUUUUAUGCUUAUUCAUAUGAGUAUCAUUCAUCUCCUACAAGGCUAUUUGCUAGGGCUUCAAAGCCAAAAUUCUCAGAUGCUGCACUUAGACUCAUUGCUUCUAAACCACCCCUGAAGAUGUGGGUGGUGAAGAAGAAUUAACUCUCUUUUGCAGAAUAUGGUCUCCAGCCAGCAAUCAAAGGCGUCCGAUAUUAUUGCUGGGGACCUAAAACACAAAGGGACGCUUGAUAAAAUGACUCACUAUGUAUUCCACAUAUGAAUCGUUUACCUGUCAUACUGUGUGUUCUAACAUUCAUCUAUGUUGUGAUAAUCCUAGUGUGCAUCAAAUGCUUAUGCUUCAAAACAUACCUUGUGAAGCCUAUCCUCCUAACUGCACUGUAGGGUAUGACACCUCGUGCUUCAGAAUGGAUUAUGGAUAGCGGAUGCACUAAUCAUAUGACUGGUGAUCGAAGUCUUCUCAUGGACUCAACCUUACGUCCAUCCGACAAGAGUCAAAUAACAUUUGCUGACACUGGUAAAGGCAAGGUAUUGGGUCUAGGUAGAGUUGCAAUCUCAAAGGAUCAACACAUGGAUAAAGUGAUGCUUGUUGAAUCCCUUGGAUUCAACUUAAUGUCUGUCUCAAUGCUUUGUGACUUAAACAUGAUUGUGAUAUUCGGAAAAUAUCGUUGCCUUGUACUAAUGGAAUCUGACAAGUCUCUAGUCUUCGAAGGGUAUAGGAAAGGUGAUCUAUACAUGGUAGAUUUCUUAGCAGGUCCACAGCUUGCCGUAUGUGUUCCUGCAAAAGCUUCAGAAUGUUGGCUCUGGCAUCGAAGGCUGGGGCAUGCUGGCAUGAGGAACUUACACACACUCGUCAAGAAGAAGCAUGUCAUAGGCAUCGAAGGUGUCAAGUUCAAGAAAGAUCAUUUGUGUGGUGCCUGCGAAGCUGGAAAGAUGACGAGGGCCAAGCACCCCUCGAAGACAAUCAUGACGACAUCUCAACCCUUCGAGCUGUUGCACAUGGACUUAUUUGGCCCUACUCACUACUCUACCCUCACAACAAUAGCGUGUCUCUAUGGCUUCGUCAUUGUUGAUGACUACUCAAGAUAUACAUGGGUGCACAUAAUUCUCUACAAAACUGAAGUACAAGAUGUCUUCAGACGAUUCGCCAAUCAAGCAAUGAACAACUAUGGCGCCAAGAUCAAGCAUAUCAGAAGUGAUAAAGGCACUGAAUUCAAGAACACCGGGCUUGAUCUUUAUCUGGAUACAAUGGGAAUCACUCAUGAGUUCUCUGCCCCAUACACACCUCAGCAAAAUGGCAUUGUAGAGCGCAAGAACAGAACCCUCAUUGAGAUGGCUCGAACAAUGCUCGACGAAUACAAGACACCAAGAAAGUUCUGGCCCGAAGCUAUUGAUACAGCUUGUCACAUCAUCAACCGUGUUUACAUCCACAAGCUUAUGGGAAAAACAUCCUAUGAGCUCCUUACUGGCAAGAAGCCAAAUGUCAGCUACUUCAGAGUCUUUGGUGCUAGGUGCUGGAUCAAGGAUCCCCAUCACAACUCAAAAUUUGAACCCAAAGCUCACGAAGGCUUCAUGCUCGGUUAUGGAAAGGAUUCACACUCUUACAGAGUCUUCAACCUCUUCCACUACAAAAUCGUUGAAACUGUGGACGUGCGAUUUGAUGAAACUAAUGGUUCACAACGAGAGCUCCUGCCAAGCACAUUAGAUGAAUCUCCUUCCAGCGAAUCCAUCAAGCUAAUGGGAACUGGUGAAAUCAUGCCCUCUGAAGCACAACCUGAAGAGGAACUUAUCAUUUCUGCACCAAACCAACCUGAAGACAAUGCUCAGACCGAAGACAAUCCUCCCAAUGAUGACAAUGAUCAGCAUGAGCAAGGGCUUCGUCCAGUUCAUCCUCGUGUUGCAAAUGAAGUACAAAUUGAGAAGAUAAUUGAUAGCAUCAAUGCACCUGGUCCACUUAAUCGCUCAAGAGCAACACAGUUAGCAAAUUUCUGUGGGCAUUUUUCAUUUGUAUCAAUAUCUGAACCCAAGAAAGUUACUGAAGCCUUUAUGGAACCUGAAUGGAUUCAAGCCAUGAAAGAAGAACUUCAACAGUUCAAGCUGAAUAAUGUUUGGGAACUUGUCAAGCGCCCUGACCCUCGCAAACAUAACAUUAUUGGCACUAAAUGGAUAUAUCGGAACAAACAAGAUGAGCAUGGUCAAGUCGUCAGAAACAAAGCACGUCUUGUGGCUCAAGGAUAUACUCAAGUUGAAGGAAUUGACUUCGAUGAAACAUUUGCUCCGGUGGCUAGGCUGGAAGCUAUUCGCAUCCUGCUAGCCUAUGCUAAUCACCACAACAUCUUUCUAUAUCAAAUGGAUGUGAAGAGUGCUUUCCUCAAUGGCAAGAUUGAAGAAGAAGUGUAUGUCGCUCAACCACCUAGCUUUGAAGAUCCAAAACAUCCUGAUAUGGUGUACAAACUAAACAAAGCAUUGUAUGGCCUCAAAUAAGCUCCUCGCGCUUGGUAUGAUACAAUCAAAGACUUCCUGAAGAGAAAAGGCUUCAAACCAGGAUCCCUCGAUCCAACACUCUUCACGAAGACAUAUGAUGGUGAACUGUUUGUAUGCCAAAUAUAUGUGGAUGACAUAAUCUUCGGCUGCACCAACCAGAAGUAUAAUGAUGAGUUUGGAUACAUGAUGUAAGAGCCAUAUCAGAUGUCCAUGAUGGGUGAGCUGAAGUUCUUCCUUGGUCUUCAAAUUCGUCAGCAAAGGAAUGGCAUCUUCAUAUCUCAAGAAAAAUAUCUCAAAGACUGUCUGAAGAAGUUCGGCAUGCAAGAUUGCAAAGGUUACACGACGCCAAUGCCAUCCAAACAUCAUCUUGGUCCCGACGACAAUGGUAAAGAGUUCGAUCAAAAGGUAUACCGCUCCAUGAUUGGUUCUUUACUUUACCUAUGUGCAUCUAGGCCAGAUAUUAUGCUUAGUGUUUGCAUGUGUGCUCGAUUCCAAGCGGCACCAAAGGAAUUGCAUCACUUGGCUGUGAAGCGAAUUCUUAGAUAUUUGGCUUACACCCCAACACUCGGAUUAUGGUAUCCAAAGGUCUCAAGAUUUGAUCUGGUUGGAUUCUCGGAUGCUGAUUAUGCUGGUGACAAGGUGGAUCGCAAGUCUACAUCAGGAACAUGUCACUUUCUGGGACGAUCACUUGUCUGUUGGUCUUCAAAGAAGCAAAACUGUGUAUCACUCUCAACUGCUGAGUCUGAAUACAUUGCUGCUGGAUCUUGUUGUGCUCAGCUUCUAUGGAUGAAGCAAACUCUCAAGGACUAUGGCGUCAAUCUGAAACAAGUACCUCUCUUCUGCGACAACGAAAGCUCCAUCAAGAUUGCCAACAAUCCAUUUCAGCACUCGAAGACAAAGCACAUUGAAAUUCGUCAUCACUUUCUCAGAGAUCAUUUCAUGAAGAAAGAUAUUAACAUCAUUCACGUCAUCACUGAAGAGCAACUGGCAGAUAUCUUCACAAAGCCCCUGGAUGAGAAAAGGUUUUGCAAGUUACGGUGUGAGCUAAAUAUCUUAGAAUCCUCAAAUGUCCUGUGAUCAAGCACACAUCCUAAUACUUAUGCAUGUUGAUGACUUAGAUGUGCAACACACGAAGUAAAGUAUAUCUUCAACUAAUGAAGACUUACAUUCCGAGUGUGAAUACAUUAACAUGGAAUUUGACUUCGGAGCGCCACGAUAAUUGUGCGCCGUGUCUGGGUCUAAUACUUCCUAUACGGUGGGUAACGCCACCACCAAAUUUCUUGGUUUGAAGUGUUUCACUCAUGGCGUUAUUGUUGAAUAUCUUCGCAUUUGAUUUGACUUCAAAAUUUCAACUAAUCUUCAUGAUUUACUUCACUAUGUUGAGUUGAUUGCUUUCUCAUAUAUAUAUAUAUAUAUAUAUACCAAUAUUCUGUCCUCUACAACAUUCACUUAUAGCUAUGUCUUCAUUGUUGAAUCUUUUGAACUAAGUGAAUGUGAUUGGACCCUAAUCUCUCUAUGCUUACUAUCUCAAACUCUAUCUGUCCAAAUCAUAUGCAUUCUAUUGAAACUGUCGAAUGUCUUCUCCGCGUCCUUGUCAGCAGAAGGCACAGAGACAAACAUUAAGUCUGUUAAAUGAUUCACCCUUAUUGACUGAAAUCCGGAGAAGCCGGAACGACCAUCCAACAAACUUGGCGGGCGUGGGAACAUGGGACAACUUUGAGUAUGUUGCAUGCUUGCCACGUGUUCCUCAGAUGUGAACAGGUAGGGGCACCUGCGUAAUUGCGAUGUGCCUCACACCUUCUUAUAAAUACAUGCCCCCUGCGGUCAAGAAAACCUUCUUCCACCUCACCACCUUGUCAAAACCCUAGCGCCACCGCUAGCUCUCGACGACGCCUGCGACGAAGCGCUUAGCUACCGCGACUUCUCCGACGCUGUCCUCACGCCGGCCGCGGGCAUCGUCCUCUCUGCCGCCGCCAUAGGUGUCCUCCGUCGCCAAGUUAGGGCACGGUGGAUUGAACUGCUCGGUCUCCUAUUCACCCCAUCUAGCAGUUCAUCGUGUGGUAAAUAUAACUCUAUUUUUACCAGCUUUUUGAUCCUCAAUAAUUCAUCCAAUUUACCAAAAUUGGUUUCUGUCUAUACAAAGUUAGAUCUAUUCUGUCUGCAUCUCAUAUUGCCUAGUAUAUUCACUUAAGCUUCAUAUCUAGUUAGAUUCCUCACUUGUACUUAUUCACGGAUUCGUACAAAUCUGGAACCGACUCUCAACAUAUAAGUGAAUGUCUUCGCAACAUGAGGUCAAUGUCUUCAAACUGAUUUAUCUUCAAAAUCUUCUGAGAAUGCAUAUGACCUCUUCCCCUUCCCUCGCAUCUCUAAUGCUGUCACAGGUACAUGUCUGUGGGAGAAUCCCUAGGUUCUCAUAGUCUGCAUUCGUUUGCAGAAUUCUUACAGCAACACAUUGAAUCUCCCGAAGCCAGUUCCUGUCUGACCAGCAAGCGAAAGCCUUUGAAGCCUUUGAACAUAUUGAAACCAUUCAGUUUGAAGUUCAUGGCUACGGAGAAAUCUGUAAGGAAGGGUGGCAGACAACGUCGAGGGGGAACAUCAAAGGAUCUUCCUGAUGAUCUUGCAGAACUUUACAAGACAGAUCCUGAAGAGGAUUAUAAUCAGCGCAAGACACGAAUCCAAUGGAUUCGAUGCUAUUGGGCUGAACAAUGGUUCAAGUACAAGUUCGUGACCCAGGAGUACGCUGAGAAGAUGUCACAUCCCUAGCUUCUGGUAAUGCUCUAGGCUAGCUCAUGUGUGCAUCAUGUUUAAAUUCAAAUGAAAUUUGAAUUGAGGAAUUUUCAAAGCCUCAGAAACCUCUAAAAAUAACCAACAAUUAAAUCUUCUCAAAUGUGUCUAAGAAAAUGUUCCUGAUAUCCUCUGGAAAUAUUGGCAAGAGGUAAAAUCCAAUUGGUGUCUCAGAAACAUCUAAUUUGGGCAUUUGAAUUAAAUCAAUAAUUAUUUGAAUUGGAUUUAUAUCUACUAUUAAAUAAAUAUAGGUCCAAUAAUUCUGAAAAUAUUUUGUGGAGCAUUGUUUUAAUUCUUUUAGCUCCUAAAAAUAUUGUUAGAAGCAAAAUAAAUUGAAUUGGUUUCAAAACCAAAUUCAAAACAAACCUGCAAAAUAGAAAACUGAAAUAAUUAGAAAAAGACAGAGAGAGAAGAGAAACCUUACCUGGCGCCACCACCGGCCCAGUUCCCCCAGCCGGCCCAGCCCACCUCCUCCUCCUUUGUCCUCUUCCUCCUCUGCCAGGAGGACGAGCAGAGGCGAGGCGUGGCGCUCGCCGACGCUGCCUCGGCCACCUCCUGCUUCCCCCCCUAGCCACCUUCUGCUUCCUCUCGUUGCCCUGGAUCCCGUCCGCGACGCCACGCACCCCCCCAGGCCUCUCACUCUCUCCCCGAGCUCCUCUCCUCCUCUGGCUCUCUCGCGCGCAGCCACCAAACGGAGCCGCCGCCAUCGACGCCGAUUGCCGCGGCCACCGUGCUCCCCACGCCUCACCGACGCCCCAGGGAGCUCCGCCUCGACCCCCUCCUUCCUCCCCACCGACCCACGGCCCUCCGGAAGCCCUGCAACGCCGUCACCAUCGCCGUUCCGUCGCCGGCCACCGAAGCUCCCCUUCGUCGAUUCGCCGGACCCCGUGCCUCCCCUGCCUCGCCAGCAGCACCAGAAGAACCGCGGUGAGCCCUCGACCCGAUUCCCCCUCUCCCCGUGCCCCACCUCCCUCUCUAGCUAGCCCCACCACUUUGCCCGAGAAUCUCUCGCCGCCGGCCAUGGCGUGGCCGUGGCCACAGCCACCCCAGCUCGUAUCCGAGCCCACUGACGUGCUCACCGUGAUCUCAGGACUCCGUAGCACGCCCCAGCUCCUCCUGCCGUGCUCCCUAACCCCGACCCCGAGAUUGCCCGAACUCCGGCAGCCGCAAAGGAGCUCGCCGCCGGCAGCUCCGGCCACCCCAGCCUCCGCCACCGCCACCGUUGGAUGCGCCACUCCACCCUCUCCCCGUAGCUGCUCCCUGCGCGCCAAAAGAGCCCCUGUAGUUGGUUUCCGACGCGCACCACCGCGUCUGGCCUCGCCGGCGUCAAGCCGCCGGUGGGUCUGACCCACGUUGACCACGGCGGGACCCCCCCCCCUCUGGGUCGAUGACAGGUGGGGCCAGCCCCCCCUGCUAAUUAGUUUAGUUAUUUUAUUUUAACUACCCCCUCUACUGACACUGACAGGUGGGCCCCCGCCAUCAGGUGAUUAGCUUAAGCUAAUCACCACCUAAUCUAACCCCAGAGCCACUGACAUGUGGGCCCUAGUGCCCUAAUCCUUAAUUAAACUAAAAUAAACCCCCCCCCCUGUUAACCUGUGACGCUGACAUAUGGGUCCCACAGGUCAGGUUUGACCUGGAGGCGCCCUGUUGACCUGCUGACGUCAAGGUGAUGUCAUGCUGACGCAUUAAAUGAUUUUCUGGAUUUAAAAUAAAUCAGAAAAUUCCAGAAAAUUGUAUAAACUUCUAAAAUUCAUAGAAAAUUAACCGUAACUCCAAAUUAAAUAAAUUAUAUAUGAAAAAUUAUCAGAAAAAUUCAAGGAAUCCAUCUGUACCAUUUUCAUGCAUGUUAGAACAACUUAUCACUACUGUUUAGGGCAAAUGAAGUGAAUGGCAUUUGAAUAAUCACAUAUGGAGUUUGAAUUUGAAUUUUAUAUUCAAACCAACUUCAUUUAAUCUGUUGCUAGUUGCAUUAGCUCAAAACACAUUCAUAUUGCCAUGUCAUAGCAUGCAUCAUAUUGUGCAUUGCAUUGAUUGUGUUUCCUUCUGUGUUGCCGGUAUUUGUCCCCUCUCGAUAGACGUGAUACCGAUGACGUGAUCGUUGACACUGAUGAAGACUCAAUGUUAUCUUCAGAAGUGCCAGGCAAGCAAAACCCCCUUGUUCAUUCCGAUACAAUCCUACUCUCUCGCUCCUGCUCUCUUUUACUGCAUUAGGACAACACCGAUUCAUCUGUUACUUGCUGCGGUAGCUGAACCCCUUUAUCCUUUGCAUGACCUGUCAUUGCCACAGUAAAUAGAUGAAACCCACUAGCAUGAGUAGGAGUUGUUUGAGCCCUGUCGUGCCUACUCAUUCAUGUUUGUUUGUCAUGCCUGCUACUGCUUAGAGUUGAGUCAGGUCUGAUUCAUCGGGGAUGAAUCAGAGGCGGGUGAACAUGUCCUACUGUGUGUGAGCUAAGUGUGUGAACACGAUUUGGUAAAAGGUGUCGGUGAGAGGCCAUGUAGGAGUACAUGGUGGGUUGUCUCAUUGAAACCGUCCUCAGGAACUGAGUUCUGUGUUUGUGAUCCAUGAUUCAGCUACUACCAUACAUUGGGCCCUGAAAUAUGACCCCGCUCGACUUCUUAUUCACCCUUGUUCUCUGUCCAGGAGUUGCAAGUAGUUUCUGGUGUUUGUAGUAUGCUGGAGGCCGUGGACAGCGCUGACCGUAGGGGUGGGCUGUGGUGCGGUAGGCACGUGGCACGGUGUACCGGGCGCCCGUUUGGUGUCUCGGGAACCCUGUUCACAUCGUUUGGGGCUGUGAGCGAAACUCCGGCCGGAUCUCCUCAUGGAUGGAACCCGAAUAGGCGAUAAACCUGGACUAGAGACUUGAGUGUUUAGGUAGGUCGUGGUCUACACCCACGUCGGCUUUCGCUUGAAGUCUGCCGAGCACAUGUCGUGUGCAGACGCUAAGUGGUGGAAACAUGUAUGAAGAAGUACACCCCUGCAGGGUUAACAUCAUCUAUUCGAAUAGCCGUGUCCGCGGAAAAGGACUUCUGGGUUGCUUAUAUCAGUUCAUAGACAAGUGAAAGUGGAUACUCUAAAAUACGCAAGAUAAGCGUGAGUGCUAUGGAUGGCGUUCUCGUAGGGAGACGGGAGCGGUUCCAUAGUGGUGUAUUGGUUGGUGAAUAUGUGGACUCGUGUGCGCCACCUCAAAAGAGUUACAUUACAGUCGUAGUUCAGGAUAGCCACCGAGUCAAAGCUGGCUUGCUGCAGUCAAACUCCACCAUCCCCUUUGUUGAUAAUGAUGCAUGUGUAGAUAGAUCUGAUGUAAGUCUUGCUGGGUACAUUUGUACUCACGUUUGCCUAUUUUAUGUUUUGCAGAGAGACUUCAGUCUCACUAGUAUUUCCGCGUGGUCUUCGACGUUUAGCUUGUUACCUCAGCUACGAUCUUGUGCCCUCGGCAGGAUCUGAUAGAUAGUCAGGCUUCUCAGCCUUUUUCAUUUAUAGAUGUCUGUACUCAGACAUGAUAGCUUCCGCUUGUGCUUUGACUUGUAUGCUCUGAUUGUUGGGUCAUGAGACCCAUGUUUGUAAUGUCUCGCUCCUCGGAGCCUAUUGAAUAAACUACUUGAGUCGUAGAGUCAUUUUGUGAUGCCAUGUUGUAUUGCACAUAUCGAGCAUAUUGUGUGUAUGUUAUUGAAAUGCUUGGUAUGUGUGGGAUCUGACCAUCUAGUUGUUUAUCUUUAGUAGCCUCUCUUACCGGGAAAUGUCUCCUAGUGUUUCCACUGAGCCAUGGUAGCUUGCUACUGCUCCGGAACAUUUAGGCUGGCCGGCAUGUGUCCUUCUUCGUUCCUGUGUCUGUCCCUUCGGGGAAAUGUCACGCGGUGAAUACCGGAGUCCUGUUAGCCCGCUACAGCCCGGUUCACCGGAGUCCUGCUAGCCCAGUGCUACAGCCUGGAUUCACUCGCUGAUGACCGACACGUUCGAUGCUGGGUCAUGGAUGCCUGUCCCUGUAAGUCUGUGCCGCUUUGGGUUUACGACUAGCCAUGUCAGCCCGGGCUCCUUAUCAUAUGGAUGCUAGCGACACUGUCAUAUACGUGUGCCAAAAGGCGCAAACGGUCCCGGGCAAAGGUAAGGCGACACACGUGGGAAUACCGUGCGUGAGGCCGCAAAGUGAUAUGAGGUGUUACAUGCUAGAUCGAUGUGGCAUUGAGUCGGGGUCCUGACAGCGUUGGUAUCAGAGCUUGACUGCCUGUAGGAUUACCAAGCCAAACUGGUCGAAGUUGUGUCUAGAAAUUCUUUAGUUAUAUAAGGGAAUUGAUUGUGGGAUGGAACGUAAGGCUCUUUUUACUCCUUAUACCUCAUGGCCUUCUGAUCUGAGUCAUCAUCUUCUCUUCUACGGGGAUUAAGAACUAGGCUAUCUCUUCUUUCUAUUAGGAUCACGUGUUACUAAUCCGUAGACCUAUAGAAUUGUUGGACUUAAGCCUCGUUUCAGUUCCUACUACUUCCGUAUGUUAAUUGUUGAUCUCGAAACCUUGAUAUUGUACUUCUGAGUGGUUAUGCCACCAUUUUUGUGAAUGUCUCAAAUCUUUUCUGAGCAUUUACAGCCGUUAUGCUGUCCGAGUCAUCCCAGGUUUCUAAGUAGUCUGAUGCAAUUGCAAAUCUUUUCUUCCCGUUCCAAUGUUCCCAUGGGCCAGAUUAACCACACUAAUCAGUGAGUUGAGGUACUUCGUUACCUUGACAUAUAUGUUGGAGAUAUUAUUAUGACCCUAGGUGUCUUAGGGGAUCACCUAGCAAUUUAGCCAUGAUUUGUGUUCCCGGUGUGAUGAUUCUGGCCAUCAUUCUCGAAAGCAUCCCGUGAUGCUACUUAGUAAUAGGUAUUCUAUCCCUGGGUUUUGAACCCGAGAUUCACUCUACCUACUUCAUGUUGAUAGUAAUUGCUAGUGCCUUUAGGAUAUUAGUAACCUUUGCGAUAGUCCUUGAAGUCCGUGGUAUCUUCUUCUUCCAAAUACCAUGAACUACUUAUGGCAGAUGUUUAUUGGAUCAAAAAAAAAUCACAAUUAGAGUACUCUUGAGGAGUUCUCCAUUCAUAAAUCGUGACUCUGCCAGUUCUACCUUUCUGCAUGGGUUAUCCGGAAGAAAUAUGUUGAACUUGGUUCGACAUACUAAUCUAUGCAUCCACAACUCAGAAAAUUAUAUGUUCCUUUGAGUUGUUCUCUUUAGUUGCAUUCUGACCCUCGUCUAUCAAUUGAUAGUCAAGAGUAUGCGUGCGUUCGUUUACCGAUGCCUAUUACUCUUGUGGUCCGUCAAGCCAUUCUAUCGCAGAAUGACUAGGAGAAACAAACUCCAGUACCUCUUCCAUAUCCAGGAUUGGGUCAAAGAAGUUGUGCUCCGCAGAUCAAAUUGCUAAUCCAGCUUUUGUUCUGUUCUACCUUGGAGUAUUACAUAUUUUAUAUCGAGAUUAUUAUAGGAAUUGCACACCAUCCUAUGAACUCUUGGUACAGUGAUACUUCUCACCAUCAUUAGUCAUUCCUCGGCCCUUGUGUUGAUGCAACCGGAAUACCGACAAAUGAAUUGUGAUGUGUGAAAUCAAUACUCCUAGCAACCUCGUUGCUUGGUAGUUAAAGGACAAUAAUUUCAUUCUUAGUGUGUUGGUUAUAGAAUCAUCAUUCUAAGAUUGAUCGUGCUACCUAGUCCAUUCUCCUGGUUCACUCCUCGAUCGAUGAGUUAGGAUUAUUUCAAAUCCUUACUCUAUUGAUCAUAUCGUCCUGCCCUGAAAAGCAAGAUUGUUCUCGAGCUUAGUAACAUACCGAUGGUUCGUGAUUUUCUGAAUAUCUUCUCAGAAGUAUUACCAGGUUGUCACCUGACCGCUAUGUUGAGCUCGUGAUCAAGUUGGUUUCUUGUGAACCACCUUCUCUCCAAGAAUCAGUGUUAGAUAUCCCUGAGCUAGUUGGUUAAGCUAAACGACAACUUGGAGGGUUGGAAGAUAAAAGCUUGCCUGACUUAGUUCGUUCCAAAAGGAUAUUCUUGUGUAGUGUGUGUUGAAGAAAGAUGAUAUCUUCAUCGAUUGGUCCCUGUGAUCAGUUGUUGGAUCUAUCGUCUUAUCAAUCCUCUGAUUUGAGUGCGGGCUAUCGUCAAAUCAAGUCAGAACCAACGGUGCUCGUAAUGUUGUCUUCCUCGUGGUUGAUCCCUCGAGCAUACACCAUUAUAUCUUUUGGGUCUGACCACUGCUAUCACCGUGUUCACACGAUGGUGGAAGUCCAGUGAUAUGGAAAUUCCGAUGAGUUGUUGUUGAGUCCAUUGACAACAUCCUUAUCCCCUCCAUGCUGUUGUUGAACCUUAAGUUAGUGUUGGAAACUUUUGAAAGCAUUUGUUCAUGCUAGCUCAUGAAGCAUGUGUUUUUGGAUGAAGGUAGUGACUUCCUUUAAUUCAGGUGCAUCUGAUGCAAGUUGCCGCCGUGGAUUCGAGAAAGUCAAUGUUGUUUCUUUGGAAUCAUCCCAAAUCAGUCAUGCAUACGUGCGAAAGUAUUCUGUGGUUCGGAGACUUGCAACCUCCAUUCCAUAUGUGUUCCGUAGCACCCCAAGCCACUGACUGAUUUGUUCGAGAAAAGGAGUUAAGUGUUAAUCCAUGGUAAUGCACAAGACUUCGAUACCCUCGUUGAUGGUUCCCCCUCCUGAACUCGGUAGUGUUUUAUUAUAAGACUACUUUGUGGUCAUGCUUGUCUUGGACAACAUGUUCACAUGUUUGUAGCAGAACCAGCUCAUGUUUUGGAGCUUGCUAUCAUAGUUCAUCUCUCGAGAAUCUCGCAACGUCAUCUCGUCGAUUCGUGUUGCAAACUUCCGUUUUUCUUCCUGGACUCGAUGAGUCUGGAAUAUCCUGACACCAACCAGAUCUGAAUCUCAGGCAGAUAUGAUGGUUGGAAUAUUUCCCAAGAAUUAUAAUAUUGGUCCCUCGAAAACCGGUAAAGUGGAUGUCGUGGCCAACACACCCAGCCGGAAGACCUGUUAUUAUAAUAUCUUGAUUGAGGAAGUUGACCACCCCCCCUAGGGAUUUCGUAGGGUUUACCUCCCUAGUUGUUCCUUAUGGAUUCUUGUGCUCCCGAAGUCCGACCUUUUUACUUGAUGUUCUAGAUACCAAACCAUUUCAAUGAAUGGGAUACGCUAGCACAUCAAGGAGAACAUUAGGAGCGGAGUGCUAAAUGUCUCUCGGUCGAUCAUCCAGAUUUUGCUUCCUUGGCCUCGCUAAGGUGAAAUCUGAGAAGGUGUUAUCUUCCUUUGCAUCUGCAUCAUCCAUCAUCAUUCAUCAUUGUAGCAAGUUGUGUUGCCAGGAUCCUUGACACGGGUAUUGGUAAAACCUUGAUGAAUGUGGAAAUGCUCAAGUUCUUGAGAGCACGCACAAGCGCUAGGUGUUAUCAUCGGCACUAACUGGGUUUGCUCUCAGUUUCCUCGGCAAUGCUAUAACCAUUCCAAUAGUGGAAUAACUCUCUAUUGUUGGGUUCUUCCCCAGUUACCAGAAUCAUUCCCAGCAUUUGCAUUCUGUUCCUAGCUUGCACCGCCAAUGUACCAUUCUACCAUGGGUCUCUUCCACCUCCGGUGAUAAGCAAAUUCAUCCAUUACGUUGUCUUCAACAAGGUAAUCCACAUCAUCCAAGUCCGAGUAUGCCAUUCUACCGACCCCCUCCAAAUGAUCGCUUGCGAUUGCCUUAGGCUGGUAUAAAGAAUUUCAAUGAUCUUUGAAUCAAAGGUAAUUCUUUUGCCACUUAAGGGGAUAAUCUACGAAUCACCCUCCUUCAGGAUGUUUCGUCGUGGUAUCAUGGCAACUCAAAUCCUCGCUACGUUAACAAUCGAUUACCACCUUCUUAAGUGUGGAACUAUUGUCUACCUAGUGAACCUUCAUCAUCCGUUUCUUUCCACCCCUCUUGAUGUGUAUCUCGUGUCUCAACCCGAGAGAUGGUUCUAAGUCUCAUUCCGUGAGUUAGUCCUGAGUUGUUCGACCUUCGAGAAGAUCGACCCUUCUAGAGUCUCCUUCUUCCCUCCAUGUCAUGUUGACAGGAGUGCUCAGAGCAAGACGACAAGACAAAGAUGGUGUUCAAAUCAACGUUCAACUGAAGUGCACCCUGGAUCGUGAAGAUUAUACUAGUUGCGCUUACCUUUCACCUUACCCUACGCUUGAAUCUCGAGACGAGAUUCUUGUUUAGUGGGGGUGAGUUGUCACAUCCCUAGCUUCUGGUAAUGCUCUAGGCUAGCUCAUGUGUGCAUCAUGUUUAAAUUCAAAUGAAAUUUGAAUUGAGGAAUUUUCAAAGCCUCAGAAACCUCUAAAAAUAACCAACAAUUAAAUCUUCUCAAAUGUGUCUAAGAAAAUGUUCCUGAUAUCCUCUGGAAAUAUUGGCAAGAGGUAAAAUCCAAACCAAUAUUUUUGGUGUCUCAGAAACAUCUAAUUUGGGCAUUUGAAUUAAAUCAAUAAUUAUUUGAAUUGGAUUUAUAUCUACUAUUAAAUAAAUAUAGGUCCAAUAAUUCUGAAAAUAUUUUGUGGAGCAUUGUUUUAAUUCUUUUAGCUCCUAAAAAUAUUGUUAGAAGCAAAAUAAAUUGAAUUGGUUUCAAAACCAAAUUCAAAACAAACCUGCAAAAUAGAAAACUGAAAUAAUUAGAAAAAGACAGAGAGAGAAGAGAAACCUUACCUGGCGCCACCACCGGCCCAGUUCCCCCAGCCGGCCCAGCCCACCUCCUCCUCCUUUGUCCUCUUCCUCCUCUGCCAGGAGGACGAGCAGAGGCGAGGCGUGGCGCUCGCCGACGCUGCCUCGGCCACCUCCUGCUUCCCCCCCUAGCCACCUCCUACUUCCUCUCGUUGCCCUGGAUCCCGUCCGCGACGCCACGCACCCCCCCCCAGGCCUCUCACUCUCUCCCCGAGCUCCUCUCCUCCUCUGGCUCUCUCGCGCGCAGCCACCAAACGGAGCCGCCGCCACCGACGCCGAUUGCCGCGGCCACCGUGCUCCCCACGCCUCACCGACGCCCCAGGGAGCUCCGCCUCGACCCCCUCCUUCCUCCCCACCGACCCACGGCCCUCCGGAAGCCCUGCAACGCCGUCACCAUCGCCGUUCCGUCGCCGGCCACCGAAGCUCNNNNNNNNNNNNNNNNNNNNNNNNNNNNNNNNNNNNNNNNNNNNNNNNNNNNNNNNNNNNNNNNNNNNNNNNNNNNNNNNNNNNNNNNNNNNNNNNNNNNNNNNNNNNNNNNNNNNNNNNNNNNNNNNNNNNNNNNNNNNNNNNNNNNNNNNNNNNNNNNNNNNNNNNNNNNNNNNNNNNNNNNNNNNNNNNNNNNNNNNNNNNNNNNNNNNNNNNNNNNNNNNNNNNNNNNNNNNNNNNNNNNNNNNNNNNNNNNNNNNNNNNNNNNNNNNNNNNNNNNNNNNNNNNNNNNNNNNNNNNNNNNNNNNNNNNNNNNNNNNNNNNNNNNNNNNNNNNNNNNNNNNNNNNNNNNNNNNNNNNNNNNNNNNNNNNNNNNNNNNNNNNNNNNNNNNNNNNNNNNNNNNNNNNNNNNNNNNNNNNNNNNNNNNNNNNNNNNNNNNNNNNNNNNNNNNNNNNNNNNNNNNNNNNNNNNNNNNNNNNNNNNNNNNNNNNNNNNNNNNNNNNNNNNNNNNNNNNNNNNNNNNNNNNNNNNNNNNNNNNNNNNNNNNNNNNNNNNNNNNNNNNNNNNNNNNNNNNNNNNNNNNNNNNNNNNNNNNNNNNNNNNNNNNNNNNNNNNNNNNNNNNNNNNNNNNNNNNNNNNNNNNNNNNNNNNNNNNNNNNNNNNNNNNNNNNNNNNNNNNNNNNNNNNNNNNNNNNNNNNNNNNNNNNNNNNNNNNNNNNNNNNNNNNNNNNNNNNNNNNNNNNNNNNNNNNNNNNNNNNNNNNNNNNNNNNNNNNNNNNNNNNNNNNNNNNNNNNNNNNNNNNNNNNNNNNNNNNNNNNNNNNNNNNNNNNNNNNNNNNNNNNNNNNNNNNNNNNNNNNNNNNNNNNNNNNNNNNNNNNNNNNNNNNNNNNNNNNNNNNNNNNNNNNNNNNNNNNNNNNNNNNNNNNNNNNNNNNNNNNNNNNNNNNNNNNNNNNNNNNNNNNNNNNNNNNNNNNNNNNNNNNNNNNNNNNNNNNNNNNNNNNNNNNNNNNNNNNNNNNNNNNNNNNNNNNNNNNNNNNNNNNNNNNNNNNNNNNNNNNNNNNNNNNNNNNNNNNNNNNNNNNNNNNNNNNNNNNNNNNNNNNNNNNNNNNNNNNNNNNNNNNNNCCCCCCCUGUUAACCUGUGACGCUGACAUAUGGGUCCCACAGGUCAGGUUUGACCUGGAGGCGCCCUGUUGACCUGCUGACGUCAAGGUGAUGUCAUGCUGACGCAUUAAAUGAUUUUCUGGAUUUAAAAUAAAUCAGAAAAUUCCAGAAAAUUGUAUAAACUUCUAAAAUUCAUAGAAAAUUAACCGUAACUCCAAAUUAAAUAAAUUAUAUAUGAAAAAUUAUCAGAAAAAUUCAAGGAAUCCAUCUGUACCAUUUUCAUGCAUGUUAGAACAACUUAUCACUACUGUUUAGGGCAAAUGAAGUGAAUGGCAUUUGAAUAAUCACAUAUGGAGUUUGAAUUUGAAUUUUAUAUUCAAACCAACUUCAUUUAAUCUGUUGCUAGUUGCAUUAGCUCAAAACACAUUCAUAUUGCCAUGUCAUAGCAUGCAUCAUAUUGUGCAUUGCAUUGAUUGUGUUUCCUUCUGUGUUGUCGGUAUUUGUCCCCUCUCGAUAGACGUGAUACCGAUGACGUGAUCGUUGACACUGAUGAAGACUCAAUGUUAUCUUCAGAAGUGCCAGGCAAGCAAAACCCCCUUGUUCAUUCCGAUACAAUCCUACUCUCUCGCUCCUGCUCUCUUUUACUGCAUUAGGACAACACCGAUUCAUCUGUUACUUGCUGCGGUAGCUGAACCCCUUUAUCCUUUGCAUGACCUGUCAUUGCCACAGUAAAUAGAUGAAACCCACUAGCAUGAGUAGGAGUUGUUUGAGCCCUAUCGUGCCUACUCAUUCAUGUUUGUUUGUCAUGCCUGCUACUGCUUAGAGUUGAGUCAGGUCUGAUUCAUCGGGGAUGAAUCAGAGGCGGGUGAACAUGUCCUACUGUGUGUGAGCUAAGUGUGUGAACACGAUUUGGUAAAAGGUGUCGGUGAGAGGCCAUGUAGGAGUACAUGGUGGGUUGUCUCAUUGAAGCCUUCCUCAGGAACUGAGUUCUGUGUUUGUGAUCCAUGAUUCAGCUACUACCAUACAUUGGGCCCUGAAAUAUGACCCCGCUCGACUUCUUAUUCACCCUUGUUCUCUGUCCAGGAGUUGCAAGUAGUUUCUGGUGUUUGUAGUAUGCUGGAGGCCGUGGACAGCGCUGACCGUAGGGGUGGGCUGUGAUGCGGUAUGCACGUGGCACGGUGUACCGGGCGCCCGUUUGGUGUCUCGGGAACCCUGUUCACAUCGUUUGGGGCUGUGAGCGAAACUCCGGCCGGAUCUCCUCAUGGAUGGAACCCGAAUAGGCGAUAAACCUGGACUAGAGACUUGAGUGUUUAGGUAGGUCGUGGUCUACACCCACGUCGGCUUUCGCUUGAAGUCUGCCGAGCACAUGUCGUGUGCAGACGCUAAGUGGUGGAAACAUGUAUGAAGAAGUACACCCCUGCAGGGUUAACAUCAUCUAUUCGAAUAGCCGUGUCCGCGGAAAAGGACUUCUGGGUUGCUUAUAUCAGUUCAUAGACAAGUGAAAGUGGAUACUCUAAAAUACGCAAGAUAAGCGUGAGUGCUAUGGAUGGCGUUCUCGUAGGGAGACGGGAGCGGUUCCAUAGUGGUGUAUUGGUUGGUGAAUAUGUGGACUCGUGUGCGCCACCUCAAAAGAGUUACAUUGCAGUCGUAGUUCAGGAUAGCCACCGAGUCAAAGCUGGCUUGCUGCAGUCAAACUCCACCAUCCCCUUUGUUGAUAAUGAUGCAUGUGUAGAUAGAUCUGAUGUAAGUCUUGCUGGGUACAUUUGUACUCACGUUUGCCUAUUUUAUGUUUUGCAGAGAGACUUCAGUCUCACUAGUAUUUCCGCGUGGUCUUCGACGUUUAGCUUGUUACCUCAGCUACGAUCUUGUGCCCUCGGCAGGAUCUGAUAGAUAGUCAGGCUUCUCAGCCUUUUUCAUUUAUAGAUGUCUGUACUCAAACAUGAUAGCUUCCGCUUGUGCUUUGACUUGUAUGCUCUGAUUGUUGGGUCAUGAGACCCAUGUUUGUAAUGUCUCGCUCCUCGGAGCCUAUUGAAUAAACUACUUGAGUCGUAGAGUCAUUUUGUGAUGCCAUGUUGUAUUGCACAUAUCGAGCAUAUUGUGUGUAUGUUAUUGAAAUGCUUGGUAUGUGUGGGAUCUGACCAUCUAGUUGUUUAUCUUUAGUAGCCUCUCUUACCAGGAAAUGUCUCCUAGUGUUUCCACUGAGCCAUGGUAGCUUGCUACUGCUCCGGAACAUUUAGGCUGGCCGGCAUGUGUCCUUCUUCGUUCCUGUGUCUGUCCCUUCGGGGAAAUGUCACGCGGUGAAUACCGGAGUCCUGUUAGCCCGCUACAGCCCGGUUCACCGGAGUCCUGCUAGCCCAGUGCUACAGCCUGGAUUCACUCGCUGAUGACCGACACGUUCGAUGCUGGGUCAUGGAUGCCUGUCCCUGUAAGUCUGUGCCGCUUUGGGUUUACGACUAGCCAUGUCAGCCCGGGCUCCUUAUCAUAUGGAUGCUAGCGACACUGUCAUAUACGUGUGCCAAAAGGCGCAAACGGUCCCGGGCAAAGGUAAGGCGACACACGUGGGAAUACCGUGCGUGAGGCCGCAAAGUGAUAUGAGGUGUUACAUGCUAGAUCGAUGUGGCAUUGAGUCGGGGUCCUGACAGAAGAAUUCUAUCAAGAGUCCUUGGGGUGAUAUUCUCUAUCGAGGCCUUCCCCCCAAGAACAAAGCUGAAGCCAUUGCACAAGAAUUCUAUCCUUGUAUGGUCCAUGGACCACAACCUGAAGAUGCCGACCCAUAAUCAUUGCUCUGGUGUCGUGACGACAAUCUCUUCAAGCGCAACUUCCAGUAUGAAAAGGCUUCGGCAAAGGAAAACAAGAAGUUAUGGGGAUUAGACUUCAAUCCUGGUCCCUCUGCUCCCCGUGAUGAUGGCACACGUAAAGUGGAAGAAAAUAGAAUCGGCCCAUUUUCAAACGUUGAUGGCCUAAUCUCAUACGUCUUGGUACAAGGUGCCAAAAUGGAUCAUUCUCAUAAUGAUGCUGAUUCUGAUGAAGCCCCAGCUCCUCCUCCAAGGCCGCGGAAGCCAAAGAAAAUUAAGGCUUCAACAUCAGCUGCACCUCCAAAAGCUUCUCGUGUGAAGCCACUGGCCACUGCACCUCCUGAAGACAGUGUGCAGUUUGAAGAUCUUUCACGCAUCUCCAAGAAGAAAGAGAAGAAAAAUAAAAUCAUCAAGAGUACUGAUCAGACUCUGACUCCUGCUGCCAUUCUGCGUGAAGAGCACAUUGAUCUGUCCAGCGAUGACGAUCUUGCAGAUGAUGCUCUUGAGCAACUGAUCAAGAGCAAGGAAGAAGCUGAGAUCUUUAACAACUUGCCUCUCUUUGACGUGGCAAUCAUCCAUAACUUCAUUGAUGAGUGGUUUGACACACCAAAUCUCAGCUUUGAUGACUUGCAACUUCCCAUUGGCCUCAGCGCCGCCUUCAAUGGCGCCAUUGCUUCUGAGCUAGCUAUUGCUCAGCGCAUCGUCGAACUGAAGCACAAGAUUGACUAUGAAAAGGCUCAGUUCAAGAAGCAUGUGGCCACGCUCAACGUGCAAGAUGUCAAAAACUUCAAGAUCAUGCUGCACGAGCUCAAAGAAGCCUUUCACAAGAAGCGUGAAGAAGCUCGAGGCUCUAGAGAGCGCAUGAAGGGUCUGGCUGACAAGUGUGUGCUUGCCUACAAUGAGGCAGAGAAGCACAAGGCUCUUGGUCGUCCUGGCAUCGACCCCAGGAUGGCUGCAAAGAAGAAGAAAACGACUGUCCAAUCUGCACCUUCAAGGCAAGAUGAACCUCGCAUUGUCUUCCCAAGCAGCAUGACUGGCUCGAAGCCAAUAGUCACGUCAACCGCUUUAGAACAGAAGAAGAUGAGGGCUGCAGAGGCUGAAGCCAGAAAACAGAAAACCUCAGAAGCCUCUGAUGCUGCUCCCUCCAAGAAGAAGCGCAAGACCAAGAAAAAUCGGGCUGCUCCCACAGAGCCCCUUGUUGUUGAACCCAUCUUAGUGGUUCGUCCUGCAUCUGCAACCCAAGAACUACGAAUGACUAUUCAUGAGCCUGCUUCCACAGAGGCUCCUGAAGCUUAAGAGAUUCCAACAGUUGAUCCAUUCACUGCUGAAGACAUUGGUCACCAUGACAAUGUUGAAGAUGAUGAAGUUCUUCCUCAAAUUGAAUACAAUGUGGUAUCAUCGCCUGUUCAUACGAACAGCGAAAUCAUCAGCAUUGGUCGUCGUCUAACACCAAUUGCUCAGGAUGCAUCAUGGGUUGAUCGCCCGCAACAACAAGACUCCCCUAGUACUCCCCAACAACAACAAGUCACACCAUCCGUGCAAGUUGAAGAGGAUGAGGACCUGCCUACUCCAUCUCCAAAGUCGUCGCCUGUAUUACAAAGGCUUCGUAAAGGACCAAGGCCUCAAGUCCCUCUUCCGAGCAUUCCUGAAGGAGAAGUGCACCAUCAACCUGUUGUACGUCAAGUGUUUUCAGAAGCCACUCCAACUGUGAAUGUCUCCAUGUCUGAAGCCCCAGCGGCUGAAGACAAUCCGGCUGCAUCAACCGAUGUUCAAGAAGAACGUGUCCCUACUCCCCCCAUUGCUAAAGAAGUUGUUCAUGAAGUGAACGUAUCUGUGCCUGACCCUCCAGCUCAUCAAGUGGAGAUUGAAAACCUUGAGGCUGCCACCACCAACACCAAUGAAGCCAAUGACAUAGUCAAUGCUGAAAAUGCUCCUGAAGCUUCUGAUGUGCAGCCCGAAGCCACUGUUGCUGCCACUGCUCCUGUUCUGCCACCAAGGCCCUAUACAAUUGAGCAAGCAUACAACCAUGGCGAGCUAAUCACAGUAAGAUGGACCGUUCUGGUCCCUCCGCCUAAUGUCUCUGGUCCUCAGUUUGACUAUCACAUUGAGCAUAGGCCUCAGGUCCAGAAGCCAAAGCCAAGACUGCCAAGGUUUCCUGGUACUGCCACAUCUGUCGGCUCGUUCAAUGCAAAUGGCUUCAAAAGCUACAACACAUUCUUUGACAGCUCAAAGAACCCCUACACAAGGCCAAGAAUAUCAUCAGAUCGUUUCUGGAGUCAUCAGCAACGAAGCUAUUACUCAUGUGUUCUGUAUGAUCAAGGGCACAUUUUCCCUCAUAUGCGCCUCGACACUGAAGCCAUUGCUGGACUGCCAUGCUUAGAAGAAGCACUUGACUGCUUUCGUGAUGCUGGUCUGCUCAGCUUUGUGACAAACAAAGAACAUUGGAAUGAAGAACUACUGCUUCAAUUCUAUGCUACGCUCCACAUUCGCGGUUAUAACAGAGAUACAAAGACAUGGGUUCUCGAGUGGAUGACAGGAAAUGUUCAUCAUGAAGCCAAAGCUCUUGACAUCAUUGAGCUUACAGGUCUAUCCACUCCCGGAGAGCUAUAUGAACCUGGUUGUCAAAACCACCACAAUGCACUGGAGAGCAUCUUCCAUAAACCAGAACCAAACAUGAGCCAGAUGUUGAGCAUGAUGAAGCCUUUGCCACAUGAUGCUGAAUAUCUAAAGGAGUUCUUUGUUGAUGACCUUGAGUAUCUGCCGCGCAACAUAUAUCACAUCAUCAGGCAGACUCUAUGGCCGAUCAAAGGACAUUCAUCAGCUGCAAAACUUGAAGCAGCCAUGAAGACAUUGGUCUUUUACAUCCUCAAUGGCAUCAGCUUCAAUGCAUAAGAUUUCUUCCUUCGGCAACUGGCUGCAUCUGGAUCUGAACUUUUCAGACUAAAAUUCUAUGCUCCAUGGGUCAUGCGCCUCAUCAAGCAACAUUCUGCUAUCAACUAUCAACCCUCUGCUCGCAAUCAUGUGAUCUUUCUACCAGAGGUUGAUAUGUCAGUUGAGGCCAUAUACCCUGAACCUGCCAAGAAGCCUCUUAGUCUUCAAAAUGAUGAACACCAAAGCUUCACUCAGCCUAUGGAAGGAGUCCAAGCCGUAACUCGUGUCUAUCCAAUGGCUGGAAACACUUGUCUACCUCAUCAUGCGCCAACUGAAGCUACUGACAGCACAAUUGCUCAAAGGCCUCAGAAGCGCUCUCGGGUCCUAAAUGACCGAGAACUUCUAGUGGCCCUGCAUCAGAAACAAGAUAAGCAUCAUUUUUGGCUCAAGCGUCAGAUGCAAAGCCUCUUGGUGGAUGUAAAUCGCAUUCGAAACCUUGCCACCAAGAAUGCAUUUGUCACUCACGAAACUUGUCGGCGAUCAUGGAAGAGUUUGACCCUGCUCAGUGCUGAAGCAGAUCUUCAAGACGAUGGCUUCACUGAAAGAUUCAAGUUUGACUCCACUCCUCCAUGGAAUGUUGUCCUACGAAGAACUCCAUCUCUUGAAGACUCUGACUAUUCUUCCUCCACGGCAACUGUGCAUGCAAAUAUGAUCGAUGAUGAAGAUGAUGCUACCUCCUAUGUCUGCACGCAUCGACACUGCACCAAGUUCGUCUGCACCGCCAAACAACAAUGAUAACCCUACUGCUUCACCUACUCCUCAUGAGGACGAGUAGAUGCUCUAUGUCUUCAAACCUUUUUGGUCAUUACUAACAAAAGGGGGAGAAGCAUAUGAGUUGAUAGUCUUCAAGCGGGUUCAUAAGGGCGGUUGCUUUAUAUUUUUGCCUAGUGCUUACAACUCUUGCAUUUGAUACACUUCGUUCUUUGAGUUGUAACACUUAAACUUGAUGGUCGUCUGCUACUUAUUUGCGUUUCCACGUGCGAUGAUAACUUCCGCACUUAGAUCACUCUGCAGACGUCCAUUUUUCAUUAUGCAUGUCAUUCUCUUAGUUAUAUCAUUUCGUGCAUGAUGAAUUAUCUUCAUAAGUUGAAGAGGAUCUCCACAAGUACAAACUGCCAUGUGCAUUUGCAUUCCAAAAGCAAAUUAUUUAUAUGCACAUCUUCAAGGGGAGCCCUUGCCACUUAUGAAGACAAUACCCUAUCCUUUACAAUUUCACAUACUUCUUUCCCGUUGAAAACUUCAACCAGUUUGUCAUCAAUCACAAAAAAGGGGGAGAUUGUAAGUGCACCUAGUGCCACCCCUAGUUGGUUUUGGAGUAUUGACGACAGAGUUGGUUGAGGGACUAAUGCAUUUGUGAGAAUUGCAGGAUAACGCAGGAAGUGUCCCUCAUUGAUUCGGUUUACCUACCGGAGAUGAACCCUAAAAAUGUAUGAAGACAUUGAAGACAAUGGUGGUGUGUGAAGAUAUUCACACUGAAUACUAUGACAUGAGAAGACAUUGAGUGAAGACUAUGGAGCUUGAAGACUGAGUUGUUUCGUUGUUUCCUUUUCUUCUUUGUUGAGUCAUAGGAACCACCGUACUGUUAAGUGGGGUCCAAGUGAACAAAGUCAGAGUGACUGAAGUGAUGCUCAACCCAAAUCCUAUAUCUUCGAGCGAAGAUAAUGAGAGCAAAUCUUAUCCAGAGCUGGAUGAGUCAGAUUUGCUUCUAGCCCAAGUAAAGUUGUCGUGUGUGUUUGAAAUCUGACCGUUGGAACACAUGUCAGUUCCUUAGUGAACCAGGUUCAUUUCGGACAUAUCAUGUCGGGUUGCCUUGUGGCUAUAAAUAGCCCACCCCCUACACCAUAAAUUGGUGGCUGCUCAGAGUUAGUUUACGAAUUUUGUCGUUUUGAGAGCAACCCACCUCGAAGCCUUUGAGAGAGAAAUCCUUGCGAGGACAAAGCCCAAACACCCAGAGCCAAAGAGUGUUAGGCAUCACUGAAGUAUUUUUGUCUGUGUGACCUGAAGACUUAUUACACUUGAGGACUGUGUAUCCUCCAGCCGGUUAGGCGUCGCAUUCUGAGCAUCCAAGAGUAAUUGUGGAUUGCCGGUGAACGAAGUCUGUGAAGGUUCGGAAGUCUACCUUGAAGACUUACCAGAGUGAUUGGGCGAGGACUGUGUGUCCUUAGCUCAAGGGGAAUAAGGUGAAGACGCGGUCUUCUGAGUUGAAUCUCAGCCUCCCUAACCAGACGUACAGUUGUCACAGCAACUGGAACUGGUCCAAUAAAUCCUGUGUCUUCAACAAGUGACUGGUUCUAUCCCUUCCCUCCUUUACUUUGAGUUUGUCUUCGUGAAGUCAUUGCUUAAUUGCCUUAUCUGUUUGACUUCAUUGCUUGACUACUUUCGUUGAUUGGCUUCGUACUAUCUUCCAUCCCGAUCCUUACUACCUAGCUGCUAUUAGUCUUUGUACAUUCACAUUAUUGCAUACUUGACUAUGGCUUGCUUGUUGUAGUUUAUCUUCCGCUGCAUAUCAAGGUCAUUUCUAUUGUUUGUCUUCGAAACUUCCACGUUUUGAAGACUUUGAUAAAAAUCGCCUAUUCACCCCCCUCUAGUCGAUAACUAGCACUUUCAGGUACCACACCCAACCGGUGUUCGAUCAAAUCCCAUUGAGCUUAUUUUUGAACUUCAUGUCAUUUUUUAAAGAAAGGUAGCGGUGUACUCGAUGAAGGAGGAUGAGUUGUUGUGUGACGCGUAGUUGGCCGUAUCUACUGAAUUCGUAGGCAGGAACAGAAGAGGGUGGAGGGUCUCUUGGAAGCACGUGCGUGGUUUGUUUCACGCGUGAAAGCACAUUGCGCCCUACGACAUGCACAUCAUCCAUGAAUGCAAUGUCAAGUCAUUAGCGUAUCGAUGGUACACCAUUCUGAACUCCGUCAUGAAGUUUUGUGCCACAAUUGAUCAACUGGAGAAAAUGUGGCCAUUGCGCACGGUAACCAUGGAAAUGAUAAGUUUUGUUUCUUCUUGCUCCACAUGUUGAUUGAUUCUAUCAUCCAUGCAAUAUUAUUGUGCAUGUUGUGUAGCAUGCAUGCGCUAUCAUGAUAUACUACACGUCAGAGGGCAGACCAUUCACACCCAUACACUGUUGGAUGAAGCUCAAGUGGCAGUAUGUGCGGGGCAACAUGAUCCAUCCAUGAAGAACUUGUUAGUUAAUCUCGUUGAAUUUGAACUAUUGGUGUAAAAGACAUAUUUGCAUGCUAUUUAUGGACGAUUUGUGUUAUCUUCUAUCCAAAUUUUGCUGAAUUCCAUAGUGUUUGAUGAAAACUGUCUGGUUAGUUGAAAUAUAGUUUGAAAUGUAUGCGGCUAAGGUUGGAUGUUAGCCCCAGCAUCAAUGUCCAUGGAAUAGUCCCCGGUCCGCAGACGGAUGUCGUGUUCAGUUUGGAGCUCAAUGUUGAAGAUGCCCUGAUAUUUGGACCGGACAAUCACAAUUUUUCCCCAUCAUGCCGGCCUAUACAAAGCCAUUUCUUUUCUGGAUCAUCCCUUAGAGCAUCUACAACCGGAAUUGCGUAAUUCGGGUCCCUAUAUGGUCGCGGACAUGCCGGAAUGCAGUUGCAGACAACGUCAGGCAGGUCCUCUUUUGGCCCUCUCCACAACCACACUCCCCAAAUCUCGAUACCCAAAUCCAUGCAAAUCCUUGCACAACGAUCAUAUAAUGCAAAUUCAUCAUACAUUCAAUGAUACAAAUAUAUUGUAGCCCAAUCAAAUUCAGUACAUGCCAAAAUAAAAUUCAAUAGUUCAUACAUAGAUAAACGAUACAAGAAUGAAUCAAUGACUUCAAUCCUCAUGGUCAUUGAUCCUCUUCUUCAUGCGGGGCAGACACUUCUUCCCUUCUAGAUCAAAGAGGUUGAUGUCCUGCAUCACGAUCCUCGACUCUUCUAUCUCUCUCUCGCAUGCGCAACCUCUCUUUAUCGAGCUCAAGAUCACACAUUGUCACCGUUUGCUUAAGCUCCCAUUUUGCAACAUUAUUUCGCUUCUCCAUAUCCACCUUCUCCCGCUCCAAGGCCAAUCUCUGUCGGUCGAACUCCAUCUUCUCCAUUUGCACAUCAAUGAACAUCUUGUGCCUCUCCUCCUUCUUCACCUCCUUGGCAUAAAAACUGCCCGUCCAAGUGGCACAUAUUUUGUUUAUUGCACCUUCACGCGCUACCUUUCCUUCUCCUAGUUAUUCCCCAUCACUUGCUAGUUUAUUUUUUGCAUGAUUGGUUGUAUUUUGAACGCAACAUUUUCUUCUUCCCCUUCCGCGUCCACUCCAAUUGAUUGAGCCGAGCUCGACUAUUUUAUUCUUCAUCAUCUUCAUGUCGUUCUGAGUUUCCUUGAGGACGGUAUGCUACUUGGGUCUCCUAUUCAAUUUCAUCCAACGAUGAGAAAAAGUGAAUGGUUUCUUCUCCACUUGAUGGUACAAAGCCUCUGCCAAAGAUGCAUGGUUUUGAACUCUAUUGUUGCUUUGGUUUCGGCCUAAAACUUGUUUGAGAUAGCCAACAAAUUUGCUAAAGGCCUCUUGCAUGAACGACCUUCAAUGUUGAAGAGAACAUGUGACACGGUUGAUGCAUAUUGGGUGUGGUUGCACAUAGUGUUUUUGCUCAUGAUAAAGUUUCCAAAUUUUCUCCCAAUAUUUCUUGCCAUUUUGCUCGGUUCAACAAAUCAGAUCCAUUCUAGUGUUACACCAACUUUCACAUAACAAAAUAUGUUCCAAUUAUGUGAAUACCGGACCCCUCGGCUUGUAAACUUUGGCAGCUUUCUUCUUCUUUUUAGUGUGUGAUGUUCGCCCAACUUCAAAUACCGAGGAAUUGGUAUCCUCCAUGGUGAAUUGCAAAGACUCUUGACCAUGAUUUAUCAUAUCAUGCAAUAUUUAUUCCUAGAAUAUGCAUUACAAUUUAACCAUUUUACUACUAAUACGAUCUGAUAAUAUGUGCAACAAAAGGAACUAUGGAUGCAAAUCUGAAAACGGUCAAAAUUUAUACCCAGUCUUGGGCGGGCUUUCCUUCGAACAUGUAGUGGGCAGAACAAGCACCUACAUUGCCUGAGGACGCCCGAUGCACUUCGAGCUCCGACGAGUCCGCCAUCAUGUCCUCGUUGGGGACGGCUUGAGAAAAUCUCAAAUCCGGGAUGACCUUCCACUGGGAGGGCAUGAUGCAGUCGGGCAACAGCGACAAAUACAUUGUCUUUGUAGCCACGACCGACAGAUUGGGGAGGGUCGCGUCCAUGUCCUAUGCAGUAGCCUUCACCGCCAACAAGGUCGCGUCCGCAACUUCCUACACAACCGCUAUCUUCUCUGCCGCCUCAUGCUCGCGCUGCCUCCGGUGGCGCUCCUUCCGGGCAAGGUUCUCCGUCGUGCAAAGAUCCAAAGCCAGGCUGGGAACCCCGACUAAUUCUGUCGAGGCAUCAUCUGUGACCAUGGAGGCGGACAGGACCGUCGGCAAUGACAUGAAGGACGGCGGGCAGGGAUGGCUAGCAAGAAGGUGGUGGACGGCUGCGUGGCGGCGGGAGAAAUGGAGGAUGGAGGUAGGAGGAAUUUGGUCGAUGAAGAGAAGUACUCAAAUUGGUUCUGAUUUGGGAUGGGUCCACCUUGACAGAGCCGACGUGGCAGGCGUGCCCGGGCAUGUCCGGGCCUCCCCAUAUCUGCUCCAAAUAUGGGCCGGAUAUGGGGAGUGCCAGUCAGUCCAAACGUUUGGGCCAGCUAUUGGGCGCCCGGUUGGAUGGCGUUUUUAUGUCCGCUGACCGAGCAGACCAGACUGGCUCACGUUUGCAUGCAUGCAUAGUUACCAAUAAACAAAUACUCCAAUCCGUUCUUAAAUAUAAGUCUUUUUAGAAAUUUUAACACCAAUGCGACGUUUGUGCUCCUGAGCUCAUCUGCACCUGCCUUGACGAAAAAAAUCAAAACAAAAACUAAAAAAAUUCAAGGCAUUCCAAAUUUUUUUUGUGGUAAAUAAGUUUAUGCGUGAGGUGCACUCCAACUUUCAACUCAUUUGGACAUCUGAGCAACUCUCAGCAAAAAAGACAAAUUUAGGGUCUAAAAAAAAGUUUACUGUUCACAGACUGUUCUAACCCGAUUUGUUUCUUUUUUGCUGAGAGCUUCUCAAAUGUCCAAAUAAGUUGAAAUUUAGAGCGAAUCUCAUGCAUAAAAUUAUCAAUGACACAAAAAAAUAGAUUUUUUUUAAUUUUUUUAGUAUUUAUUUUGAUUUUUUUCUGACCGGAUGCAGAUGAGCCUGGGCACCGAAUUGAGUUUUUGACUACAUACGAAUGAAUGUUGACGUGUUUUAGUGUAGAUUUACUCAUUUUGCUUCGUACGUGGUUCAUACAAAAUCUCUAAGAAACAUAUAUUUAGGAACCGAGGGAGUACAUAGGACAUGCAGUGCAUGCAUGCAUUCGGCCCAUUUCCAGACAUGAAAUACGUGCAUGCAUUUUGCUCGAACGAUAUGGUUGCGGGGCGUCCCAAAGAAAGACGAAAGGUCUAUUUCCAUACAUGAAAUGCAUGCAGGCAUUUUGCCCGAACCGAUGGUUGCGUGACGUCCCGAAGAAAGACGAAAGGAAGCUUCCUUCGGGUUGCUUGAACGGCUUGCUUGAGGACAUUCUAGAUUAGUUGUAUGAUGAAUCCUAAAGGCCGCGCGCGUCUCUGCCUGCUUUUUGGCAGAAGCCAGGGUGAAGUUUUUUGCUUUUUGAUUUGUUUAUUAUCUGACCGGCAUCUCGCCCUGUGUGCGCCUUGCGUUUCCUCCUUGUCUCACUCACAUCGCGUGCUCCACUCCAGUCACACGUGCUCUACAGGACCACUCUCUUCAUCCUACAAUAAGUGUGUCAAUUUUGUACUUUUUUACAAAGUUAUGCCUCCUUUGGUUUGGAGGAAUUUCAUAGGAAUUCUAGAGGAUAGGAUUCUCAUAGGAUUUUUUUCCUUAAGAGCUCUUUGGUUCAUAGGAAUGGAUUUCUAUUCCUAUAUAGGAUUGGUUCCUAUCCUCCACAUUUUAUAGGAAAAUAAAAAUGAGCCUAGACUCAAUGGAAAAAUUCCUUUGAUGUGAACCAAAUGACAUCUCAUUUCCUAUUCCUGCUCAUAGGAUUUGAGAUACAUGUCAUCUCAUUUCCUACAAAUUUCCUAUUCCUACGAUAAUCCUAUCCUAUGAACCAAAAGAGGCCUUAGUACAAAGUUAAGACAUUUAUUCUAAGACAGUGGGAGUAUAUAUUUUUACCGUCCAGCCUGGUAACGCGGGGUCCAUUCACGCUUGAGUACAAGUUUGGACAAGAUAAAUUGACCGAAAUUUUCUAAUUGAUAAUCUAAUUCUUUAUUCCAAACAUUAUUUUGUUAUUGUGUUUGCCAACACCACCCCUGUUCCCCCAACUUCAUACGCAGCGACACGGCAAGAAGAACUCCCGUACCACAAACAUGAUACCGAACUUCAAACGUACAGGGGAAUAAGAACGAUUAGUCUAUGGACAGUGUAGAAAGACAUAGAAAAAAAUGGACGUCAUUUUUAGUCUCUUUUUCCUAUGUGUAGAUUGAAUUUAAAUAUGAAAUUAUGUGGGAGACUGGAGGAGACAUCUUUUGUCAACCUGGUAAAGUUUACUAAAAUAUGGGACAUUGGCCGAGCAUUAGGAGGAGGGUCCAAGCCUAACUAGCUACCAACAAGCCAUGUACAUGGGUUUUUCUUCUACCUUUUUUUAGAUUCUCCAUGUACCAUUAAAUAUAUAGCAAAUUAAAUUACAACAAGAACUCGCGAAAACCACAAGAGAAAAUGAGAGAGGACAGAUGUCUAGAAACAUUUGCAAGAAAACUCCAUUGAAGCGGAUUUUAGCAACCACCAUCCUGACCACUUGCCAUCUUCGGAGAGAAACAAGAACGGUCGCCCCAUGAGGACUUUGUGAGCCGAAAAAGAGGUCCGCCGCCGGCAAGGCCACUGUCGAUAUGGCACGCCGAUCGGGAUCAUCCUCAUGCUCCUUGCAACCUGGAUCCGCCACAUGUCGUGGACGUAGAAUGCUGGAACCGCCACCCACUAGCCUCCAACUUUGUUAUUGGACCUUCAUUGUUCCCCAACAAGAAGAAGACACCACAUGAGACAGAAUCAGCCGCAGACACAAACAAACACCACGAGAUCCAUCACACCAAGGAAACGAUGGAGUAAGGUACCGACUGAUCCCUCGAGUUCACCACUAGGGGCGUCGUCGAGAUGGGUUGACAUCGGGGAAAAUUUAUUCCAAAAGCCGUUGUCACCUCUAUCCUUUCAUCGUCACACUAAUCCUAACACCAUAGCUACAGGAAAUCAGAGAGCCCAGGUUUCCUUACCCUUCCAUCGUCGAACCGGAGACCAGGGCGGAAAAGAACCCAUAGCCUCAUCAGCAGAGCGAGGGAAGGUUCGUCGUCUCCCUAAUUGCCUUCUUUCCAAGACCAGAGGGAGCAAACCGGUUAGUAAAUUGCAAGCCAUUGAAAUAUCUCGAUCCUCAAAGAAAAAUUGAAGAAGCAUGGCCACGACUAUGACCAUCAUUAUUCCCUACUAGAGGACAGUUGACAUGGCAACACCUAUAUCAUAGAGUAACGACAAGACAAUACCGUUUACCGCUGCGUUACAUCAUAGAGAGUAACGACAAACCAAUACACAUGAAAGACAAUUUUUGGACCCCAUUUCUAGUUAGGCUUGUCUCUUUUUCAUAUGUGUAGAUCGAAUUUAAAUAUGAAUUCCGUGGGACUCUAGGAACAUCUUUCGUCAACCUACACUAUAAAAAAAUGAGAUCAAGCANNNNNNNNNNNNNNNNNNNNNNNNNNNNNNNNNNNNNNNNNNNNNNNNNNNNNNNNNNNNNNNNNNNNNNNNNNNNNNNNNNNNNNNNNNNNNNNNNNNNNNNNNNNNNNNNNNNNNNNNNNNNNNNNNNNNNNNNNNNNNNNNNNNNNNNNNNNNNNNNNNNNNNNNNNNNNNNNNNNNNNNNNNNNNNNNNNNNNNNNNNNNNNNNNNNNNNNNNNNNNNNNNNNNNNNNNNNNNNNNNNNNNNNNNNNNNNNNNNNNNNNNNNNNNNNNNNNNNNNNNNNNNNNNNNNNNNNGUCCGCCCCCCAACACACAUCGUCGUCGAGAUGGGCUUGGCCUGCGGUUGAAUUGAGUAGGGGCCAAGCCAAACUGGUAGCCAACAAGCCAUGUGCAUGGGGUUUUCAUAUACCUUGCCAACAUUGGGAGCCAUCGAAAUAACUUGGCCCUCAAAGAAAAAUCGCAGAGAAGCAUGGGCACCACGGCUAUGUCCAUCAUUAUUCCCUGCCAGUGGACGUUGAAAUGGUAACACCUAUAUGAGUAACGAUGGACCCAUACCGGUUACCAUUAAUAAAAAACGUCGUCAAUAAUUCUUAGCCAUGAACAUGCAUAGCUUAAAUGUCGGUUGGUUGCGUUCCCAUUAGCGAGCAAAAACGCUCAUCGUACCAUUUUAUUUCUCUUAUGGAUAUGUAACGUCAUAACAAUUAUGUAUCCAUCAGAUUAUACUCUAGAUAGAUACACAACAGUACCCGUCAAGAACAAGUCACACGUAAUGAUUUGUCGCUUUCAUGGAUCGUGGUUGCGAUUUAGCCGACACAAAAAGAACAAGUUACAUAUUCUAAUUUGUGUCAUUUUUGUAGAUCCCGAAGGCCUAUAACGAUCCACUCAUUUUUCGAUACACAUGUAACUGUAUUGGACAAAGAAUCGACAAGAUCAACGACACUUUUGCAUGAAUCUUUAGUAUGAAUCUAAUCAAAUUAUCCAUUUGUGAUAUUGGAUGCUUAUCAUACAAAUUUGGUGUGGUAAAGAUUUGGCACUCAUUUGUAAUUAACUAUGAAGUCCAAAAACUUGUGCUUCUGGAAUAGAUUAAAAAAACUGAAAUAAUUAUUUGUGUUGAGUUUUAUCUAAAAUUUAUCUGAAAAUAAUUAAAACUUUUACAUGCACAUCAAAUAAUUGAUUAAAUAGAAAUUGAUUGAAAUUCCAGACAAAUAAUUAUUUGUAUCAAAUGAGCUUGCCUAUGGCACUGUACCACUAACAAUGCAAAUAAAAAUGAGCUAAUGUUUGUGGAAUAUUAAUUGUAAGCCAAGUAUUACUGGUAAAGAUUACGUGAACACCAACGAUGGAAUUCCACUGGAAAAAGUUUCCAUUGGGAUAUCACUGGCAUGAGCCAUUUAUGCGCAUACGGACAUUAGGUACAUUUGGAAGUUUGUAUGGAGCAGCGCCUCACUGUCAGCUGUAACAAACUCGUCAUCCAAACUGGCUCCACCGUUUUUUUUUUUUUGAGAGAGAGUCUGCCCUCCGCCCCACUGUGAUGUACCGAUAGCCCGGGACCCACUGCGCAACAGCUGACCUCCUGAGAACAUCGCUACGCCCGGUCUACAUGGGCUGCCAGAGACAGAAAUGGGAUCCGACGGCCGAUCUUCACCGCUCCCGUGUGCCGCUGUGGAAUAUGUAUACUUGGAACGUCAUAUUCUAGGAAGGUUUCAGGCCGUCGGGUGGAAGUGGGUUAGAUGAUGAACGGCUGGGGCGCCACUUCCUCCUGUAUAUGAUGCGGGUCCCUGGAUCUUCGUCUCGACAGCGACUUGCCUUCUCCCCAGUGUCAGACCCUUCCUCUAUCUCUCUCUCUCUCUCUCGCCGGAUUCCUCCGGAAUUCCACACCCUUCCCAGCUCCUGCCUUGCUUCCGACCUCCCGCCGAGCGGAUGGCGUCGUUGGGGGACAUGCUUUUGAACCAGGAGCUGGCGGCGGAAGAGUAUGGGAGGUUCGAAAGGUACACCCCGAGCUCUGCCCAUGGUUUUUCCCAGUUCCAGCAAGCUGACAGCGCUCCGACCGGAGUCCCCGACACGGGAUCGCUCGUUUCCGGUUUCGGCAUGCCUCCCUCCACCUUCAUCGUGCCGGAGGGUACCCACGCCGCCGCCGGUUAUGGCGCUGAGGCCGUCCCGGUGGAGAUCCCCGUGGUCCAGCGACAAAGAUCUGCCUCCAGGAACCCUCAGGCGCUGCACAGAGGACCGUGGACCGAGGAAGAGGACGAGUACGUGAAACAGAUGGAUCUGAUUCGUUUUUCUAGCAGCUUGAUCUCGCGGAAUGCAUGCUGUUCUGCUUAAUUGAUCAAUGUGCUUCCUUUUUUGCAGACUUCUCAGGAGAUUGGUAGAUGAGCAUGGAGAGCACAAGUGGGCGACCAUUUGCAAGCACCUCCCGGGACGGAUCGGCAAGCAGUGCCGUGAGCGAUGGACAAAUCACCUGCGCCCCGGCAUCAAGGUGAUGCAUGCAUCGCAGCUUAUAGUCUUGAUUUGAUUUUAAUUAGGUGAAAUCUUCCAUGGAUCUAUAUGAUUCGGAAGUCUAAAUUGUUUUAGUUUAGUUUUUACUACGUCCGAAGCAUGCUGAACUUUUGGUCGUACAAUUAGGACAGUGGGUGUUAAGCGAGAGAGGAAGAACAAAUAGUUCGUCAUAUAUGCUGCAUGCUUUUAUUUUAAUCAUUAAGUGCGCCAAUUUCUUCAUCAAUGAGUAAUUCUGUCCGUGGCCCUUAGGAAGAGAUAUGGGGGAGACAAUGGUGAAACAUUAGUUUCUUUUAGAAUUAUUGCAGAUGCACGAGCGUCUGCAAAUCGUGCAAGUUCAGUUUGAAAAUAAUUAUUAAAAUCCCCGCGAAUCUCCUGCCUAUACUCCGCAAACCUAAUCUUUGGAGAAUUAUUAUUUCCGAGUAUGAAUUAAUUGCACUCAUUAGUUUGUACUUGCCAUGAAUUUCACAUGAGUUUCUAAAGUCGUCGUGGGUGUGUGGGUGCGUUGGCUGAUGAAUCGGAUGUGACUCGUGAUGUCAAUGGUGGUACGCCAUAAUCGUAGCAGUAAUAUUUCCAGUAUGAUAUUCAAUUCAAUUACACUUGAUUGUGCCAAUUAUCUCGAGGCAUUAACUUUGCUUCACAUAAUCACAUUCCAGAAGGACCACAUCUGGACUGAGGUGGACGACAUAUUGCUGAUCGACGCACACAAGAUCCACGGAAACCAUUGGUUGACGAUCGCGAGGUACCUCCCCGGCCGGUCGGAGAACGCCGUCAAGAAUCACUGAAACGCUACAAAGCGGAGCCUCAAGUCGAAGCGCCGGUUCAAGAAGAAGACGAGCCAACAGGCCGCUCCGGGCCAGUUCACCUUCCUCGAGGAGUACAUCCGCGACAAAGUGACGGCUGACGAGAACGUGGCGCCACCGUCUCCGUCGUCCGGCCUCGGGUAUGACGGCCAGGUCGUUCCAAAUGGUGCUGCAGUGCUGGCCGUCUCCAGCCCACCAGGGAUGGGCAUGUACAUCCACCCAGCCAACGCGGCUGCUGGAUCAUUGUCCCAGGGAGGGAUGAUGAACCUGAGCUCGCCGUUGCCGGACCUCAACGCCUACGGCGGCGAGAUGCAGGAGCGAUACUACUAUCCGCCCCACAGCAACAACAACAACAUGGUGCACCAUGGACCAGAGCCGGCAUUUCAGCAGAUGUUUAGUGCACAGGGACGCAUGCAUUCUGCAUGCACGAACCUGAANNNNNNNNNNNNNNNNNNNNNNNNNNNNNNNNNNNNNNNNNNNNNNNNNNNNNNNNNNNNNNNNNNNNNNNNNNNNNNNNNNNNNNNNNNNNNNNNNNNNNNNNNNNNNNNNNNNNNNNNNNNNNNNNNNNNNNNNNNNNNNNNNNNNNNNNNNNNNNNNNNNNNNNNNNNNNNNNNNNNNNNNNNNNNNNNNNNNNNNNNNNNNNNNNNNNNNNNNNNNNNNNNNNNNNNNNNNNNNNNNNNNNNNNNNNNNNNNNNNNNNNNNNNNNNNNNNNNNNNNNNNNNNNNNNNNNNNNNNNNNNNNNNNNNNNNNNNNNNNNNNNNNNNNNNNNNNNNNGCUACUACGACAGCGAGACGGGCUGCAGCAGCGCCGGUGGGAGCGGCGAUCUGGACGAAGACGUGGUCGAGAUGGCCUCCAGGGAGUUCCAGACGUGAGGCCACACUGGACCUCACUAGCUUCAACUAAGAGGGUCCGUCCACCGGAUCGAUCCAGUACCGUAUCCAUUCAUUUUAGUUUGUCGUUUUUACCUUUCCGAACAUCUGAGUUUGUCGUUCGUUCAAUCAGCUGCUAUUGUAUACUACCUGCUUCAUCUGAAAAUACUUGUCUUUGAAAUAAAUGUAUCUAGAUGUAUUUUAAUUCUAAAUGCAUUCAUUUUUAUCCAUUUAUGCGACAAGUAAUUUCAGAUGGAGCGAGUACGCCCGAAGAACACAUCUGUGUGUUUGUGCGGCUUGGCAUGCAUGUAUCUUUAUUUUUCGUAUUCUGAGUACUUUGUCAAAGUAACUUUUACCAGACAAUUUGUUGGAGAACCUUUGUUGUACCUGUGUUUGUUUCUAGAGAUAGCUAUUCAGCCUAUGGAUUUCUGUUUCCGACAUUAUACAUUUCUGUUUCCGUAUUCUGAGUACUCUGUAAAAGUACCUUCUGCCGAACAAUUUGUCAGAGAAUCUUUGUUCUACCUGUGUUUG
rnacentral:lncRNA from 1 species